rnacentral:lncRNA from 1 species
AUCAUUCUCCUCUAUCAUAAUUCAAUUUAGAUAUUGCUUACCUAUGAGAAGUGCUCAUUUUGUUUAUGCUACAGUGCUUUCUAGGGUGACUGGAUGGAUAUUUUUGUUGUUUUAGCCUAGACAUUUUCCAUAAAAUUAUGAUUCCAUUUCUAUGAUCAGUUCCAGUUAAAUUCAGUGAUUUCUUGGAAUGACAAUUCUAUGAUGGUUAUAGAAAAUUGUAAAAACUUAGGUUAUAAGACUUAUCAAUUUGUAACUUUUAUGUCAACAAAACACAAUUUCUCUCAGCAAGUACACCAAAUUAUGGUCUAUGGCCCCGCCACACUUUCUUGUGUUGCCUCUAAUGGAAGAUGCCAAUGACCCAAUCAUUAAGGAGCAAAAACUGAAGAGAUCUAUAAAGAAUUUUCGAUUUUUCGCAUGAAGAGAUGUCUCUUCUCACUUUUCCUUCCAUAGAAGGUGUGCAGGUUGAGAGAGCUGGCUGAACCUCUUGGUACUAGCCUAAGAUGAUCCAAAAAAAGAGUUAAAAAGUUCUGGGGUGCGCUACUCAAGUUCUGAUGGGCAAGAACUAGGGUAGGGCAAAAAUUGGGUAUAAAUAAAAAGGGUGUCCUUUAUAUCAUUCCAAGAUCAUGUCCAGUUAGGAAAUUAUCAAAAAGCCAAUCUCAUUACCAACGAAGAGUAUGUGAAGUGUGAUUCCAAUCAUGAAGAAAUUGUGCAUGAUCAAACACAUUUUUUUCCUAAAAAAGUUUUAAAGCUCACAGUUGUUUCCAAAGUAACAAUUUAUUAGUGCAGUUCUGCCAAAACAAACCCUUAUUAUUUUUUUCACUUAUGCAUGUAAUAUGUUCCUAGAAAUAUUUUGGAACCAAGAGUUCCUUUUGUUGCUAAAAGUUUAAAUCUUAGUUUUCUUUUCCAAGUAACGGAAAAUUUCAUGAGUGCAGUUCUACCAAAGCAAACCUUUGUUAUUAUUUUUUUGCAGUUCUACCAAAGCAAACCUUUGUUAUUGUUUUUUUUACUUAUGCACAAGAUUCACUAUCUCGGCACUGGACUUCGUACUGGUACCAUCCUAUUACAGUGUUGGUACACCUUGUACGGGGCUAGUUCGGUGUAUCGAGUGUUGAUGUACCCUCUUACCGCAUACCAAUUUGGUAUUGGUACGGUAUGGUCGGUACGUACCAGUACUGAUUAGUACGGCAGAACUUGCCUAUGCAUUUGAUAUGCUUCUAGAAGUAUUGCAAAACCAAGGGUUCCUUUAGUUAAUAUGAUAAGGCUAUUUCUCUUGCUUUUCAGGAUGAGUCCACAUUGAUUUGGUAUUCAGGGAAAGUGGAGAAACAACUUAUACUAAGUCAUGUUUCAAAAAUCAUACCGGGGCAACGGACUGUAAGUUAAUGUGUUAUAAAAUUUCUUCUUUCCUUGUUUGCAUGUGUAAGUUCUCAUGCAUGCUUUACAUUAAAGCACAUACCAAAUCAAUACAUUUUACUUGACUAUGAGAUCAUACUAUGGAAGAACUCAAUUAUCAUUCUCAUUCAUAGCAAGUUUCACACAUCAGCCUUUUGAGUUUAUAUUUCUACAGUUGGAUGUCCUUAAAGCCAUACAUGGCCCGCAAAUGUAAUUGUGUUAGAGCAUAUUGGAUGAUGAAGUAAUGCUUUUUCUCCCAAGUCUCUUGUUAGGAAGCGAUAUUCCAAUAUAAAAAUAACAUGUAACUAUAACUCAUAAUGAAAUUGUUGAAUUAUGAUAUGUAGUUUUUAGAUGAAACUAAAAUUCUGGAAAAGGACUGAGGAGUUUGUUUGAUCAUAUUGAUAUAUUGCAAAAGGUGGUUUGAAUUUUUGUAUCAUCUCAUUUGAUCUUUAUGAUAGUCUGAAGAAUAUUUUUUUUCCCUUCUUUUCAGCCUAUAUUUCAGCGAUAUCCAAGGCCUGAUAAGGAAUACCAGUCAUUUUCACUUAUAACCAAGGACAGGUCUUUAGAUCUGGUGGGACAUCUUCUUGUUUGGCUAUGUACUUGUGAAAUAUGAUUUUGGGCUUAAUUGUUCUUCAAAAUUUUUGCAGAAGUGACUGACUUGUUUUACAAAUUUGGACCACUUUUAUAUUAUUUUGCAAGAAUGGCCUAGUAUUGAAAUUUUUGGAUGCUUUUGCCCCUGGCCCCAGCAGAUACACUGUAGCCAUAUGUUUAAGUGGAGUUAAAUGCAUAGUUUUUAUAUUUGACGCACUUUUUUCUUGUUAAAUAUUGAAUGGGCAUAUUUCCUGAGUGCUAGAUGAACAUAAUUUUUAUAGCGAACAUCUGAAGUGCAUCUGUGGAACCAGCAGCAAAAGUGUCCAAAACUUUUGAAACCAGACAAUUUCUGCCAAUAAAAAGAAGCGGCCAAAUAUGAAAAAAGGGAAAUAAGCUGUGCCAUUUUUGCAAACAAUUCCCUUUUUCUUUGAUAAAUCCUAUUAGUUUUUUGCAAAUACACAUUCUAACUUGCAUUGCAUGCUUUAUAAAUUAGCACCUCAUAGUUGGUCGGGAUCUUGACGACAGAUUUGCAAGGACAAGGAUGAAGCCGAAGUUUGGUUUGUUGGUUUGAAGGCCUUAAUUUCACGUGGAAAUUAUCAGAAGAAAUCAGAACCAAAAGCAGAAAGAAUAUCUGAUCAAAAUAUGCUUGCUCGAAGAAAUCUUCCACUGAUUUCACCAUUUUGUGAUACUGAUACAUUCGAAAAGGUUGGAUUGUUUUGUCUCUUCAAAAUUGUAUUCGUUAUUAUCUCAUCAAAUAUACUUUACGUUGCCUUUCUUUUCCUCAGGAUUCUAGAGAUGCCCCAAGGACAUAUGAGAAUCCUCCAGUUAGCAGCUUUGCAAAGGUAUUUUCUGAUGUGAUACUAUACACUGCAGCCACCAAAAGCUCCAUUCCAUCAGAAUCAGUACGCAAUUCUGUGAGUUCACUCUCAUCUGGAGGUGUGGAUAAUUCAACUGGACAGAGCUCUGCAGUUGAAACUUGUAGAGUUAGUGUAUCUAGUGCAAUAAGCUCAUCCAGCAAUGGGUCAUGCCAUGGGGUUUUUGAUGCCCUGGGUGAUGUUUUCAUCUGGGGAGAAGGCACAGGCAAUGGGGUUCUUGGUGGUGGGCUUCAUCGGAUUGGAAGUUCAUAUGCCACCCAAACAGAUUCUCCUUUGCCAAAACCUAUGGAAUCAGCUGUAAUGCUCGAUGUCCACAAUAUAGCUUGUGGAAGUAGGCAUGUGGUGUUAGUCACCAAACAGGGUCAAGUCUUUAGUUGGGGUGAAGAGUUGGGAGGCAGGCUUGGACAUGGUGUAGAUGCUGAUGUUUCCCAUCCAAAGCUUGUUGAUGCUCUAGGUGGUAUGAACAUUGAACUUGUGGCAUGUGGAGAGUUUCAUACAUGUGCUGUCACUUUGUCAGGAGACCUUUACACAUGGGGUGAUGGUAUUCACAAUUCUGGUCUUCUUGGGCAUGGGAGUGAGGCUAGUCAUUGGAUUCCUAAACUAGUAGUUGGUCAUAUGGAAGGCCUGAAUGUGUCAUCGGUAUCUUGUGGACCAUGGCAUACAGCCGUUGUAACAUCUGCUGGGCAAUUAUUCACAUUUGGUGAUGGUAUAUUUGGUGCUCUAGGCCAUGGAGAUCGUAAAAGCACAAAUAUGCUAAGAGAAGUAGAAGCUUUGAAGGGAUUGUGCACUCUGAGGGCAGCUUGUGGUGUCUGGCACACUGCUGCAGUUGUGGAACUAACAGUUGAAUCUACAGAUAAUGGUAACUCUGCAUCUGGAAAGUUGUUUACAUGGGGAGAAGGGGAGAAAGGCCAACUUGGACAUGGUGAUACAGAACCUAGAUUAGUUCCAGCAUGUGUGGCUUCUUUAUCUGAGCCAAGCUUUUGUCAGGUAGCCUGUGGGAAUGAUGUUACUAUUGCUCUCACAACUUCUGGACAAGUUUAUACGAUGGGGAGCACUGUUCAUGGACAGCUUGGGAGUCCUCUAGCGGAUGGAAAGCUUCCAACUUGUAUUGAAGGAAAACUUUCAAACAAUUUUGUUGAAGAAAUUGCAUGUGGUUCUUAUCAUGCUGCAGUUUUGACUUCUAGAACUGAAGUCUACACCUGGGGUAAGGGGGCUAAUGGUCAGUUAGGCCAUGGAGACAAUGAUGAUCGCACUACACCCACACUUGUUGAAGCUUUGAAGGACAAGCAAGUUAAGAGUGUUGCAUGUGGUGCAAAUUUUACUGCUGCCAUCUGUCUUCAUAAAUGGGUGUCAAGUGCUGAUCAAUCUGUAUGCUCUGGUUGUCGCCUUCAAUUUGGUUUCAGAAGAAAGCGUCAUAACUGUUAUAACUGUGGUCUGUUUUUCUGCAAAGCAUGCAGUAGCAGAAAGUCUGUAAAGGCAUCUUUAGCACCAAAUAUUAGUAAACCUUAUCGUGUAUGCGAUGAAUGCUAUGUUAAACUUAAAAAGAUCAUAGGGUCAGGAAUGAUUUCUCGAAUUCCAAUACAUCAACAUGGAAACCAAAAGCAAAUUUCCAAUGAGUUUACUGAAAAUGAAUCUGUCUGUUCGAGAUUGCGUGGACAAUGCUCUAGGCUUUCUUCAGUUGGUUCCUUCAAAGUUGAAAACAGGCAUUCCAAGUUGAAGAAAUCUGAAACAAACAAUAGCCGAUUACCUCCCAUCCUGAAUGAAACCUCUAAAUUGGGAAGCUCUUACCCAUUAAAAUCUUCAAACAUAUUUUCUGGUUCUUCAAAAAAAAAAGUUUCUGCUUCUGUUCCUUCUUCAAGAACAACUUCUCGAUCAACAUCUCCUGUCUCAAGUAUGCAGAGUCCACUGCCUUCAAUAACCACUCCACUUGUAUCUCGUCUCACAUCCUUGGAAAUGGUUGCUGAUGAAUCAAAGAAGACGAAUGACAAUGCAAUGCAAGUUGUUAGACUGCAGUUACAGGUGACUAUUUCAAUAAAUGCAAGUAAGAUAGUGGCAUCAUUCAUCUCAUCACAGUGUGUGAUUUUAGUUUCAUUUGUUCUUAUAAGCUGAACCCAUAGUUUUAAUUCUAGAUAAUAUUAUUGCACGAGAAAAGGCAAUUUAAAUGUGAGCUUUAUGAUCACAUCGAAUGUAAUCACUACAUUCUGCAUUCAAACUUGAUGAUUUAGUAGCUUUUGUGACUAAUUGACAAAAAACUGAAAGCAAAGAAGGUUAUUUACAAGAAAAUAUAAUGCUUGAUCAUGAAGGAUGGACAUAGGGCAUAAGUGCAAGAUACAAAUACAACAUAAUAAGGACGGGCUUAAAGAGGUUUUAAUUACCUUAAAUACUGUGCAUCCAAGGGCUGUUUGCCCAAAAUAUCUUGACCUAUAAUUGGACAACCAAAAGUAUUUGGAGACGCAUCACGGAUGUAGUCGUAUCCUUAUUGUAUCCUGUACCAACUAUUUAACAGAAAUUAACAAAAAUAUACCGGCUUAGAAUAAAUAUUUACCAUGUAUCAGGUCAUCUCUGAGGUGUAUCGAAUUGAUAUCUACAUAUCAAAUAUGGACAUGGUUAGGGAUGUAUUCAUGGUUCAUGGAUGCUUGAAUUGGCUAGUAGUUUGCUUUAGAUUGUCUCUGACUAUGUACAAAUCCAGUAAUACAAGGAUGUGACAACUCCCAUUAUUGGAUGUUUUGUGUGUUUGAAAUUGUCAUGUUAGGAACAUUUCAUUUUUUAUUAUCAUGUUGGCCAUUACCAGAAAACCUUGUUGCAUCAAUUUGAGGUCAGCUUAAUGGUUUUUUUCUGUCAUCAGAUCGUACCUGAAAAUGACAUAUGAUGAAUGUCAGCUUUCUUAUAUAAAUUGUUUCAUAAUAGUGUAUUUACACAAUUGAAAACAAUGGCAGCUGAAAUUUAGUUAUUUGGGUAGACAGAUAAGUGAUCAGUUUUUCUGGCCUUUUCUGUAAGGAGGUCAACCAUCUUUACCUAUGACACAUGAAGUGACAAUCCUCAUGAGAUCCACCUUAUAAGUAGUUGAUACAGUUAUUCUGCUUACCAAAAAUUAUAAAGGGAAAAAGUUUUCAAAGACAUGUGAUAGAGAUCAUCAAUAGGUUCACCUGAGUUCCUUUUUUUUUGCUAAAAUCCUGAGUUCCUUUUCAGGGGUUAAUCUGUUAAAGUGAAACAAAAAACAAACUUAACUGCUUACAAUGGGCAGAUCUGGAUUAUUAAUAGUGACUUGAACAAAAUGAAUUUAAAUGCAUACUGCCUAUACCUCAAUCUAAUUGAUGACUCAGUAUUCUUUUUUUUCUUGGCAUCAAAAUGUCAUGAUACCUUCUAACUUGCUAGUGUAUCUUCAUCCGUGUCACGGUACCUUCUAGUUUGAUGAUUCAUUGUUCUUUUUUUCUUGCCAUUAAAAUCUCAUGAUACCUUUUAACUUGCCAACGUAUCUUCAUCAGUGUUUUGAAAUGCAGUGCAUGUGGCCAUAUAUGUGCACACCUAUGCAAAUGCAGUCUCUUGACUGUACAACAUAGCCUAUAUGCAGUUACUAUAUGCAGUCAUACUGCAUAUGGACCCAAAAUGCAGUCAACCUAGCACUAUGGGGCUGCAUAUGCAACUUGCUUUGCAUCGUGCAGUUGCAUAUACCGCUUGCUUAGAAUUUUGGGGCCACAUAUGCAGCCCACUCUUAUUGAGCCUGUGUGGUUGAAGCAAGUUCAAGCUGAUGGUUAAGCUUGAUGUGGUUUUAGAUGGGCCUGAUACAGAUAUUAGUGAUAUUACUAUGUUAAUUAUGUUAUAAUUACUGCUAUCAAGUCUUUUGUACUGAGUAGUAAGCAUAAUCAUUACUUGUUAUUAUUUUUAAAAUUGCUAUUAGUUACCCAAAAAAUUAUUACUAUCAUCAUUGUUGUUUUUUAUUGUUUCAAUGUAUUUAUUUUCCGUUAAAUAGUUAAAAAACAAUGACCUUAUAUGUGGCUUUCAUAUGGCAUAUGCACUAUGUAGUCCCUUGAUUUCCCAUUUUCUGCAGCCAUUUUUUGAAACACUGGUCUUCAUACCGUGUCAUUAUUGAUGCACACUGUUAAUGCUUCAAAUGCAAGCAUCAACACGCAUAUAUAUAUACAUACAUGCAUACAUACACAUACAUACAUUCACACAGGCAUUGCACAUGCAUGCGCACAUAUAUGUACAUGUGUGUGUAUGAAGAAGGGCGUUGCGGUGCACAAAGCUCCUGUCACUGGAGUGUCUAGGGAGGGUCAGAUAUUUGCCGCCUUAUACCCUGGUUAUAAUAGAGCAACCUUAUCGUGGCACCAAGUCCUGCCCUUUACAUUUGUGUACCUGUGUCUUGUCAAUUUGGUUUGCUCUUGCUUCAAGUGUCCAAGUAUCAUAGCAGAAUGACAAUAUUUUCUGUUAUUUCGUUAGAUACAUGAGCUGCCUAAGCAAUCUAUGUACUGGAAUUGUAUUCUGCAGGUACAGGAUCUUACACGCAAAGCUGGACUUUUGGAGGCUGAGCUCAAAAGAACAUCAAAGCUCUUGAGAGAAGCUACAGCAAAAGCGGAAGAGGAAGCUGCCAAAUACAAUGCUGCAAAUGAAGUAAUCAAGUCUCUUACUGCACAGGUAGAGUCACUUCUUCAAAAACAAUCUAAUUUCUAUUAUGUCUCAGGGCCUCUGCAUCUUCAGCUUUUUUUUUUGAGAAAAAUGAGCUGAUUGUUUUCAAAACCCUCUUUUUUUUUGAACACUUCAAGCAUUUCUAUAUCCGCUUCCUUAACAUAGUGGAACUAUUAUGAAAGCAUUUUUAUAUGUUUCCUUUUGUAUUAUGGUAUAUAUAUAGACUUGGCUCUACUCAACUGAAUCUCCACUCAAAUCCAUUCAGAUCUAGAUCAGAACAUUGGGGUCCCACAUCAAUGAUUCUAGCCAUUAAUUUGAUCUACUACCUCUAAACUAUUUACAUACUAAAAAUCAUGUGAUUUGGAGGCCUCUAGCCUAUGCAUUAAGUUAUCAAGAAAAAACCAUGUAUUGUUUCAUGUAAUUUGAACUGUUGAAUUUUUAACUACUUGAUGCGUAGGCUAGGGAUCUCCCAAUCACAUGAUUUUUUUUUUUGUAUGUAAGCAGUUUAGAAGUAGUAGAUCAUUUCUUAUAGCUCAGGUCAUUGAUGUGGGACUCCUAUUGUCCAUUUUAAAACUGAUCGAAUUUGAGUGAAGAUACUCAAGUGUAGCCAAGUCUAUAUAUAUGUAUUCCUGGAUAUUCAUUGAACAUGCAUUGUCCAUUUUAAAACUGAUCGAAUUUGAGUGAAGAUACUCAAGUGUAGCCAAGUCUAUAUAUGUAUUCCUGGAUAUUCAUUGAACAUGCAUUGUGGCCAUAUCUUUUCAGUGAUUGGAGUCUUCGAACAUGUAAAGCAAUACUUUUUUAUUUUAGAGUGAAAAACUAUGGAAGGAUUCUUUAGGCCCCAAGCAAUUUGGUUUCUAUGUAGUGCUUCCUAUUAUAUACUCUCUUCUGGCCACAUUGAUGCAUGUUUCAGGAUACUUCAUCAGAGAUUUUUGGUCUGCCUUGGCCUCUUAUCAAAUGAUCAGAUGCUUGCUUGAAAUCAUUAUCUUAAGUUUAAUGUGCGUCACCCUAUCUCCAAGUUUGUCAUUUUCCCUUGAUGAUCAGAUGUGUCAAAAGAGAAAAAGAGAAUAUUUUAAUUACUUCCAAGUUUCUGGCUGUGGAUGUGAUAUUGGAUGUGGAAUGGAUCGCAAUAUGAAGUAUAAGUCAAGUUUAGGUUUCUAAAAGAAGUUAAGGCGCAUGCCUUUCCUGCACCCUGCAUCAAGGCAAGAGAAAAAGAGUGUCAGACUCUUGCUGGAUGUGUCACUAUGAUUAGGAUUCCUCUCGAUGUUCAAAAGCAACUGCAUGGUGCAAAAUUGCAGCAACAGCACUUGGACUUUCUUGAAAUUCUCCUGGGGGAGUCUCAGCUUGAUAUUUUUGAGGAUUUAGGUCCUACUAUGAACUAGAAAGCUCAAGUCCACAAGUAUUAAAGCGGGGACUGAUAUGAUAGGAUCACUUGAGAGGGAUGAUGAUAAGCAAGAAAGGAUAUAAAGUGUGGAUGGGAGCUGGAAGGGGCCUACAUCAGGGUAGUGGCUUUGCACUGUUUAAACCCCUGGUUCAUGCAGUUCUACUUAUUAUUCUCAGCAAGCCUAUUGUUAAUAAGUCAAGGAGAUAACUAAUAGACUUAGAAGUCUACUAGGCUAUAAGUGGGUCUGAAAGUUGGAAGGAAACGAUAAACAGGACCAGCAAAUUAUAUAUCAAGAACCGGCAUAUUGACUGUUUCUAAUUAGUCUAAUAGAAAAACAGAACUCUAUAAAAGAAUCCACUGGGAUAUGUACGUGCUAAAUACCUGGGUUCUUCCUUGAAAGCUCUUGUGAAUACGAUGACAACUUGAAUUUCUGACUUGGAAUGUUUAUUCUCGACUUUCACUAUGCUCUAUUCUCUCAUGGUAGACAAGAUGUUUACAAAUUUGCAUAGUUAAUUAGAGCAUUCAUCACAUAGCCAGAAGUGUUUUUAGUUUUUACCAUAUGAGCUCCAUCAAAAUUUGUUAUUGCUUGAUAUUUACCCUCAGAAACUUUUUUGGAUAACAACCUUCAAAACAUGAUCUUGAUAUCAUAUUGUGUUUCUAACCAUUUCUUUUGCUAUCUCUGGUUGACUACUUGUUAAUCUAAAUGUCUAGCAUUGAAAUAUCCUUUGGCUUGUCAUUGAUUUUUCUGGCCAUAGAAAAAAUCCAAUCUAUCACACCUUCACAUUCCAGCCAAUGGUCAUACAAAACCUCUACUUUCCCGAGUUGUUCUUUUUCUUUUUUUGCCCCCUUGCUGGUUUCAUAGAAAUGAAGUUUAGAUGGUCACCACAUGAAUAAAAAAAUUUUCACCAAAAAGUCUGGAAUAAUCCAAACUAAUCAGUAUAUUUAGAGAGUAUAACUAGAUGAAAUUAUCACAAUGUUCCUGGAGUGAGAUGUCUCGACCUAAGGGAGACAUUUCUCUUGCUAAGUCUUCAUCAGGCGAUUUGCAUGCUUCAGAUGCUAGAGAGGACAUUAGGAAAAGCACAGGUGAACAGAAUUUAGAUGCUGAUUUUGAACAAUCGUCAUUACAAUCAGAAAGACUUGAACAAAGCAGCAGUCUGUCAGAUCCUUAUGUUUCUAAUCAGCAGGGAUCUCAAUUCACUAGUGUAGCAAUUUCACUAGAUGAAAUGUACAACUUUGUCUUUGCACUUGUAGGAGUCACGUGGAAUCAUUACCAUGAGAACAGAAAAGUACUUCCUGAAAUUUCUAGUUUAUUUCAAAUGACACUUCUCUCCUAUUAAAUAUGUUUGUAUAGAUUUAUUCCGAAGAUCUAAUAUAUCAUCAAACUAGAGUUCUGUCUGCCUAAAAGAGGAUGCUUAUCUCAUAGAAAUUAAAUGGCUCACAUGUUUAACUAUUACUCGUGACAAUUUAUAAAGUCACAUGAUUGGCUUCCCUGAUUAUAGAUGAGAUCAAUUCAAAAUUUAUAACAAAAGUUUGAGCAUAAAACCUCAAAUAACUUAGAUUUUCCUGGUGCUAGAAUUUAUUGGUCCCGUCAGAUGUUAUAAUUAAUCCAAUGAUCGAUAAAUAGUGUUUUUGUGUUUUGAAUUGUUGUGAACAAAAGCUUUUAAAAGCCAUUAAUUUGUAAAGAUAACCACCAGUGGAGAUUUUUAAUUAUGAUUUGAAACUCAACCUUCCUACUCUAUCAAAAGGUAGGCGGCAACUUGGGGCUUGUAAACAAGCUGAGCUCUGGAGAGCCAAGCCGAGCUCAAGUUCAGCUCGUUUUGUCAUUGAGCUGAGCCUGGGCCAGCUCAGUCAUUUUUUAGCUCAACUGAAGAUGUUCACAAACAGCUUGUUUGAGAGAUCUGUUGAAAACUUGGGUUCUUUCAAGCUGCCAUUUAUAAUUUUUAAGCUAACUAUCUCAAUUUCAUCUUAAUCCUGUACUAGAAAUAUAUUGUAUUUUAUAUGUUAUGUAAGUUGGUAAUAUAGAUAUAAAAUAUUUUAUAUAAUAAGAAUUACAAUCAUCCAUUGUAAAUAUUAUUUAUGUAUCCAUAGUUCAAGUUUUAUUGAAUCCUAGCUUGAGCGAGGUAAGCUUAGAUCUAGCUCGUCUCCUGCUACUUUAGCAAGCUGGUUCCAGCCAAAUUUCAAGCUAAACAGAGCUAGCUCAUGAACAGCUUGCUUAUUUGGUAGUCUUCCUCAGAGAGAUGAUUGUUUGCAAGCUUUUGAUGCAAGAUCGAUUGGGAAAGACAUGCGUAUGUAACAUGGACCUAAAGCAUUAUGGAAACUAGGGUUUGGGUCAAAAAUUACCUUACCAUUCUUACACAGAACAUGACAGUAAAGCCAUAGUUUGAAAAUUUUGCAACCAAUAAGAUUUUUUAAACCUGCAAGUUGAUUUUGAAGGUCCUUAAGGAUAUUGAGGACUAGAUUUUGAAGUUCUGCUAGGUUCUAGGAAGGUCCAUAAGGUGGCUAGUAAGUGCACAUGAGGUCUCAAGGGCUGAAUUCUGCAGAGAACCGUGACACAUAGUUUAGUAAGGGAGAGUGUGGAGGCAUCAGUAGGCAAUAGGGACAGCUGGCUAUAAUACCAUGUUAAGGUCCAACCCAAAAGCUUAAGCUAGUGUGUGGAUGGGCUUAUGAGCUUAUGAGACCAACUAGAGUCUCUAACCUACCCUAUGUAGGACAAUUCCUCAACAGCAUCAACAAAGAUGGCAGGUCUAAUAUAUUGUUUGACAGAAUCAUCGAAUAAUUAUGAAAAAUAAUGAAUAAGGAAAAAGGUACUGCUUCAUCAACAAACCGUGGCAACAUAAAUUAAAAAAUAAAGAAGCAGCAGCAAUGUAAUCUAGUGAAGCAAUAUGAGAAUACACAGCAGCAGCAAGGAAGAAAUCAAAGAAUGCAGGGGUGUGUGAUUAUGUCCGUGUGAGAGAGGGGGAGUAGGUUAACCAACCUUACAUUAAGAGUGUUAAGUUUCUUCACUUUAACAAGUAGAAAAAUGAGUUUUUUUUCUCUCAAAAAGAAUAUGUAGAAAAUUGAGAACAAGUGUUUGCUUUCUUUUUCUGCUCCCUUUUUCUAUUUUCAAUGAUCAAAUUGGUGCGAAGGAAAGUGAAGCCACUAAUGUGGUGUAAGUUUCUUUUUUUCCCCCUGUAUUAUAGCUGACUAUUGUUCCACUCACUACCUGAUGUUCCAUUUAUUUUCAUGUUUGGUGCGGGCACCAGAAUCCGGAAAAGACUCCAAUCAAUUAACUCAAGGUCACUGUGGCUAAUUUAAAUUUAAUCGAGUCCUGUAAAUAAAAUCAUUGAGUCAGAUAGCAAGCCAAGUCAGGUUUCUACCACCACCUUUGCACACCCUUGGAGCACCACCUCGGCAUCCACAUCAAUAUCAGCUAGCCACCUCACCACUACUCCAACCAAUGAAAGCAUNNNNNNNNNNNNNNNNNNNNNNNNNNNNNNNNNNNNNNNNNNNNNNNNNNNNNNNNNNNNNNNNNNNNNNNNNNNNNNNNNNNCAUCAGAAGAACCAAUCCCUAUGCAACAUGCUAUGUGCCACCUAUUGGGACGCCACCUCAUACAAGUUGACACGUCACCCAAAUUCAAAGUCCAAGAGGUCGGCCACAAUUCAAAUGCAAGAAAAUUUCAAAUGGGAGUCAACAACUCUUCAAACCUUCCCCUUAAAGCUGGCCAACUUUCCUUCCUUUUCUCUAGCAAUCAAGCCUUCAAAUGUGGAGCGCCAUUCGUUAUGUGUUUAAAUUUCAAAUCAUGAGGAAAGUCUAUAAAUACCUCCUUAUGACAUCUUGUAAUGUCAAUUGAUGAAUGAAUAAAAAGUGCUUCUUUCUUCCUUAGCAAUCUUGUUUNNNNNNNNNNNNNNNNNNNNNNNNNNNNNNCCCUUGUUCCAAGUUGGACGUGAGGCCCUAAAGCCACUACCACAUCCACCACUGCCCUACCUCCUCUCGCCUCCUUUUUCUUUUGUGAUUUCCAUUCCCCUCUCACGCCAAAAUUCUAAUCCCUGUUUCUUUGCAGGUCCUUAAAGUACUCCAUAUCAUUGGGUCAAUUAUCCUUCCAAACCAAUAGCAAAAGGGCCCUGUUGCAACGGAAGAUGAAGCUUAGUCAUCCAAUCAUCAACCUUCGAGAGUGAGAUCAAGGAUCCUCCUCCAAAAAAAUUUCAGAAGUUCAAUGUUUGGUAAACCUGAACUCUAGGUCUGAUUUAUUGAAGGAAGUGUCCUAAUCAAGUGGUUUCUCAACCACAACGGUCCAUUCUUCUAAGUCCUAAAUGAAUUAGUAUAUGCGGGUAACUAGUCUUGAAAUUACUAUACUCAUGUUAAUGUUUUCUUAUCUCAUAUGUGACUGAAUUUCCUGCUGCUAUUAGGCUAGUUAAUCAACAUAACUUACUGAUAAUCCUUAUGUUUAAAUCUCUCGCAUUCAUCCCGCAUCAAUGUUGGUUGAAGAAUAUGGCUAAAAGUGAGCCCGAAGGAUCUGAUAUCUUCAGCAAUGUUGGGUCUAAUACUAAGCUUAUGUCAAAUUUAUUUAGUAUGUCUUAUAACCAGAAUAAAACAAAUGUCUAUUUGCUUCUCAGGCACCAAAGUCCAAUGGCCACUUGGGUGAUCCAUUGCCCUACAACACUAUGGUACCAGAAGAGACAGAAUGGGUUGAACAGGUUGAACCAGGAGUUUAUGUUUCUGUUUACUCUUCCCCUGGAGGCGGAAAGCAUCUCAAGCGAGUACGAUUCAGGUAUGGAAAUACCUUUUUUGUCUAGUUGUCAAAGGCAACAAUGCCAUGAAGUUGAUUGCAGAAUAAUGCCAUAGCAUGAUGAAUAUGGAAACUGUCUAGUUGUCAUAUGUGUUGCUUUGACACACUUUGCUAUUGCUAGCAAGUCUCAAAUUUGGAAAUCGUAAUAGUCCAAGUUAAUAUGCACUUAUAUUUUCAGCUUCCUCAUGGAUAAAUAGAUAUAUGUUCACCCUUAAGUUUGAAGGUCAUAGCCUCAACCUGUGACCAACUUUAUGGCUUGUUUGCAUUUAAUCCUUUCAAUUAAUAGAGUUACUUCUUGUUUUAACUGAUGGGGAAAAAAUCACGCAAUGUCCUCUGUCAAAUUUAUCUGAUUUAAUGCAUAGACUCUGCAAAGCUUGUUGAACAUAUUUUAAAUGAAUCUUGCAUGGACAAAAUCUAUCAUGUCAGCAAACUUUUUAAGCAAAAAAUUUCUCCAAUAUUUCCAUUUGUUGAUUUCUUAUGUUGACUUGAUUGAUCUGACAGUCAGAAAAAGUUCAGUGAACGACAGGCAGAGACAUGGUGGUCUGAGAAUGAAGUAGGGCUUCAGAAGCAGUACAUAAUCCGAACUGCAGAAAAAUCCAACAUUGACCCUUCUUCCACAUCUGACAGUAAGGAAAGCAUGAUUGACUAGCAAUACUAAUGGACACAUUUCCCACCACCGGUAAAUGUAGUUCUUCUUUUUUUUAAUCGUUUGGUGGGUGCUGCAUGUGCUCCAUUGGCCUGUGAAUCUGAAAGCAGCAUCAACAGAAGUUAAGGGAAGUAUCUUGCAUAUUGAGUAUUCUGAUUCUUCUCUGCUGCUUAAGUUUUGCAGCAAUUAUGCCCUCUGUUCCACUUGUGAUUUUUGCGCCUUAUGAGAAAACCACAGAUCCGCAUGCAUUUUUUUUUGUCAUGCUUUUCCUUUUUAAAAAAAAAAAAAGAAUCUACAGCCAUCUAUUUUUUCUGCUGGGGCUCCAUGUAAUUUCGUAAGAUAUUUUUUAUUUCUUCACGUCUCUUGUUACUGUUACUCAUAUUGUCAUAGAAUUAAUAAAAGAGUUGAUUUCCUGUGAUUAAUUGUUCUACUCUUAAUCUUUGAUGCGCUGCUUUUUUAAACCACUGGAUGACUGCAGUAUCUAUUUCCAUUCUUCAUCAAUUUUUUUUGUCCCCUGACAGUGGAAAGGACGUAUGCCAAAAUUUUUUUUAUUUUCCAUGUGUUGUCAACAAAUCCAGCAUCUGAAAUCGGUGGAUAAUAAGUCCUGGCUUUGUUCUAUGAUCAAAAUUCUGAUCACCAGAACGAGAAACUGAUAUCAGGAGACAUAUAAACUGAGAAACACUUGAUAAUCAAGUUUUGAAUAUAAAAUUAUUCAGAAACAUGUUUUACCCCGAGGGGAAGGUAUAGAAACAAACACCAGGCAAGUACCUGGGUUAAAUGCUUGGGAAGCACCUCCCAAGAUUCAAAUACAGAUUUGGAGGGGUGCAUCUGCUUCCGGGACAGAGCUAGUAGAGAGGCAUUUGGCUGCCGCAUGGAUCAGCCUACCAUCCUGUGCUCUCUUAUUACAAAGCCUGCUCCAGUUGAAGAUUUCCUCGCAGACCGAUCAAAAUCGUCUUUCAACAACACUCCCCCAAGGGGAGGGGGUUGGGAGGAUUGUCAUCUGACUUGAAGAGGAUAAGGGUGAGGCGGAGCUGCCUAGUGCUCUCCGUGAUGUAUUGUUUUUUGAUUUUUUAGGUUGUAUCCGUAUCCAUACACGUUCAGUAUGAUACUUCCGUUUCAGCAAAAAAAAAACAGAAAAAAAAGAGGGAGGAUAAAAGAAGUGGGGUUGACAAAACCCACACUAUAAAACCCAUUGCCUCGCUUUCAAGUCGAACGGUUCCAUUUUGAGAGCAGAGGAAUGCGCUUGCUACCUAACGGGCUUCAGAACAAAGAGCCCUUCGACUAGCUCUAUCGCAGAAGCAGAACUCUAUGCUGCAUGGCAUGGCCUCUGUGCUGCAGUCUUCAUUUAUUCGCUGAACUCUGGCUUGAAGGCGAUUCGUACGCUAUGAUUCAAUGGAUCAACAACCCGGGGUCAGCUAGUCCUCAACAACUUCCAUUGCUGAGACACAUUUGACAAUUCAAGAAUGUUCUUCAGAUUUUAAAGGCCUCUCCCAUUUACAGGGAGGGCACCAAUGUGCUUACUUUUGAGUUCCUCUAUAUUUUCAGCUGAGGCUUAUGGUGAUAUGUUUCUAAGAUUUUAGUUUGGUAAGAGAGGGAGAGAGAGAGAGANNNNNNNNNNNNNNNNNNNNNNNNNNNNNNNNNNNNNNNNNNNNNNNNNNNNNNNNNUUUUCUUUUCUUUUCCUUAUUUUUUCUGAGGAAAUAGAUCUGCCAACAAGUAUGUUUAUAAUGGAACAACUGAAAAAGAAAAUUCUUUUAAGCAAUGAAUACAAAUACCAAUUAUUCUUGGAGCUUAUUGUGUAAAGCAGCAUUAUCAGUUGGCUGCCAUGGCAAUUGAUAAGUUAAAGGAUAUCUUGUUCCAUGUGUAUGCCAAGACUAUUGAACAAUGAAUAUCAACUUUACUUAUGGUUGCUUAACUUCCUCUGCUUAUGAUGAAAAAUUCCUUUAACUCGAGCCUGUUGAUCAGCAAUCCCUGUCUUCCACCCAAAAGUCUAUAGAUGUGUUGCAGGCUUGACUUUUCUUAUCAGCAUUUCAAUCUCAACAAAUGCUUUCAACGAAGAUUCAGCACACUUGCCAAGUUUGCGGUAUGCUCCACAUUCUAACCACCUAUCUCAAUUAUGCUGCAUCCAGGUUCCUUCUUGUCCAUCAUCUUCUCUCCCUCUAAAUCCCUCAUUCGUGCUACAUCUACCCACCGCCCUGCAAGGGCAUAGGUGCUGGAUAGAAGGAUCGAGCCUGUCAGUUGCUCAUCGCAGAGUGGUACCAAAGCCUGUUGUGCCAUUUCUCCAAGCUCGAUAUUUCCAUGGAUUUUGCAUGCCGCAAGUAAAGCUCUCCAUGCUACUGCAUCCUCUUUCAAAGGAAGGCUCUUUAUAAGCUCGUAUGCCUCGUCCAACAACCCUGCCCUGCCCAAGAGAUCAACCAUACAUCCAUAGUGCUCCAUCCUUGGAGAUAACCCAUACUCUUGAACCAUUCUCUCGAACAAUUCCUUUCCUGCCUCCACCAGUCCUCCAUGACUACAAGCACUCAGAACUACCAAGAGGGUGACUUCAUUUGGCUUCACUCCUUUCUCUUCCAUCUCAUAGAAGAGCUGGAGAGCAGCAGCUGUCCGGCCAUUAACUCCAAAACCCAAGAUCAUGCUUGUCCAUGCUUUCACGUCUCUAUCUCGCAUCCUAUCAAAAAUUUCAGUUGCCUUGUCAAGGCAUCCACAUUUCGAAUACAUAUCCACAAACGCAGUUCCAAGAGUGGCAUCCAGCUCCAGACGCUCCUCUUGGACAUGCUCAUGGAUGUGCCGGCCUAUUGCCAGACCUCCAGAGGAGGCACAAGCUGAAAGCAAUCCUACGAAGGUUGCUGCAUCCGGCCUCACUCCUUCAUACUUCAUCUGGUGGACCAAAGCCAAGGAUUCAUCGACAAGUCCUCCUUUAGCAUACCCAUCCACCAUGCAGUUGUACAGAACCAAAUCCCUUCUCGGUAUCACGUCAAAGACCUGUCUCGCGGCACCCAUGCAUCCAGUUCUCGCGUACAUCGUCACUAUUGCCGUUGCCACAUUCAAGUCCGAACAAAGCCCAACCUUCAUGCAAUACCCAUGCAGCAAUCCACCUCCGCGACCGCAGGCAUCGGAGGAGGCGGAAAGAGCACUAACAAUAGAAGCAGCAUUGAUAUCAUAACCACUGACGUGCAUUUCCCUGAACAAACCCAUCACCUUUCCGGGCUGCGAUAUCUGGAGAUACCCGCCAAUGAGCGCACUCCAGGAGACUGCAUCUCUUCUCUGAGGCAUUUCAUCGAACAACUGAUGAGCCCCGGUUAGCCCGCCACAAGCGCAGUAGAAAUGGAUAAGGAUGUUCCUUACGGUGAGGUAAAGCUGGAAUCCAGACCUAAGGAUGGACCCAUGGAGUUGCCGGCCGGUCUCAAGGGCUAAACAACGGGCACAUAUCUUAAGGGUGGAGAUAAAGGAGAACUGGUCCAAAGGGAUCCCCUGGGCUUUGACGGACUUGAAUAGAGGCAGGGCUUCCUGUACGGCUGGGUUGGGGGCAAUGGAGUAGGCUCGGAGGACGGUGUUGUAGUUGAAGAGGUUGGGGGUGUGGAUGCGGUCGAAGAUGGAGCGCGCGUAGGGGGCGUCGAGGAGGGCGGCGGCGGCGAGGAGUUUGCUGGUGGCGAAGGGGAGGAGGUUGAGGCCGGUCUUGAUCAUGUGGGCAUGGAUUUGGCGGAGUUGGGAGGUUUGCUUGCAUGAUUUGAGGAGCCUGGAGAGCAGGCUUUGGUGCUUCGGAGUGGGUUGGACGAGUGGCGGUGCAAUUGGCAUCAUCCACCAUUUAUUUGUAACACGACGCAAUUUUAGGUCCGUUUUCCACUGCAGGCAGCCUGCGGUACAUGGCCGAUGCCGAGGGAUUCGGAUCGUCUCCAAUCUCUGGCUUUAGUGGAGUGGUCUAUCUUGGCCAUUACGCCGAUGACAAAUGGCUAUGAUUGGAAGACUGUCCAGUCCAAAGUUGGGAUCGUGUGAUAGGAUGGUGCCCUGGAAAGUUGUCCCACCCUGGCAACAGUUAUCUUUAAUCAGCCAUGUUGUGCAUGCAGGACACAAUUGAAAGUUUCUAUAAUUUUCACUUGGUUACAGAACCUAAAUCAUAUAAUCUUGGGUUGCAGUUGAUGUCUGUUGCAAAGUGGACAUUAAGUGUGGGGCUCACGAUACAUCUCUGACUAUGGGAUUUGGAUGAUUUAUUUACCGGCUGUUUGAGGCACUGCAGGUUCAGUUGUGCCCGCGCCAGCUAGUCUUGCAGUGCCCCUCGCAAUAGAUCAUUCUCCAGCUAAAUCGGCCAUGGUAUGAGUUAGCGCCCAAAGGUAUGAAACCUCCAAAAACCCCUUCCCCUCCUCACCGGCAACCCCUCUCUCUCUAGUGCAAUAGUGCUCAGAAAAUCCUGUUUAUAUAUAUAUAUAUAUAUUUGGUACAUCGGUAACUCACGGAUAUAACGGGUGUGAGUAUUGUUCAAAAAGUUAGAAAGUAAAAUAGGCUGCAAAAGAGACAGGACAACAAUAACGCGCGCAAACCACAAAGACCAAAAAAAAAAACAAAGCAUCAGGGCUACAUUGCAAUAGUGCUCAGAAAAUCCUGAUUGACAUCUAGCUUUCUGCAUCACUAAUUUCCGGUACUUUAGAUCAAUGUCUAGACUCCACAUUACCUGCUGGUGUUUCCCAUGUCCCAAUUUGAGUGCUUACACAGAGAACACACCAUGGAGCCGCAUAAUAAACCAGGUAAGCAUAUUGGGGGCUGCCGGUGCAGUUGCAAAAAUUUUGACUCAGAAAUUGUUUCUACUUCAUAUCACCAUACAUGUUGCUCAACACAUAAUUCAUGUUCUCAUCAAUAUAAGGAUCUACGAAAAGGAUUGGGAUUUCUUGCUAAUGGUAGGUGACUUACUCUUGGGAGUAUGAGAUUAAAUUGGCAUGCACUGCUACCUCCCACCAAAGGAGGUUAGAUUAGGCCCAAUAGCUGGCUUCUCCUCCUUGUAAGGCUGGGUGGCUGGAUCAGUGAGACUAGGCAAUCUCUGGACACUCCCUUUCCCUCUCCUGGCAUUAGGGCCUAUUACCUCUAUCAUGUAUUUCCAACCAUCUACAGGCCUCCUUCGACUAAAUAUGUGAGUCUUGAUGAAGCUAGCAAUCUGCAUUACAGCAUCAAAAAUUUGUAAGCACUGAGAUACACAAUGACGGUAAGACAUGACAAGCAGAAACACAAGUUCAGAGAGCAAUUCUGAAGGGUGACAUUGACCAUGUCCGUUUCUAACAAAAGUCAUGUAAUGCAGAGGGAGACUUCAGAUUGUAAAUUAUAAGAUGAUGAGGUUGAUGGAUCGCAGAGGCACAAUAUAUAGAGAGAAUAUGACAAAGCUUUUGAUGAAUAAAUAAAAAAAAAAAAAAAAAAAAUUCUGCUUAGAAUCAAGAUUAUAGGGAAGAUGGUUAACAUAUUGUGCACCUGGAAUUUACAGAAAGCAAUUCGGCGCUCAAAUUCUUGCAGGAGGAUAUCUUCUUCCCUCUGUGAUAUUUCCCAUAUGCUCCCAUCUUGGCUCCUAGAUGUUGUUUCCCACCCAUCAGGUUUAGUCUUAAACUCGGAAGUGCUAGGAAUCUUGGAAUCAUUCAGGUCCAUGUUACCAGCAUCAAAUAUCCUACAUGUCAAUGGCAACAGAGAAAGGUUAGCAAGAAUGCAAGCAAGCAUGCCACUGCAGCAAAGAUUUAGCAGACAGGAAAGCACUAAUAAUUCAGAUGAACAAGAAGAGAAAAGAAGAAUAAAAAGAAGGCUAGUGGACCUUGAUUGCAUGCAAGAUACGAACAAAAUUACAAAAACCUAAAUCCAAAAAACUAAAACAAAUUUCACACAAACUAUGUAACAGGCUCUAAUGUGUUUCCAGUCUAAAAUUGCCAGCUCUAAUUCAUGAAAAGAAGGUUUUCAAGGCUAAAUCGAAGCCUUUAUGACAAGAAAAAUUGAAAUGCUUAAAAAAACAUUAAAAAAUUGCGCAGCAAGUUUAAUACUAGUUAAUUUAAAUCAAUCUUCAAAGCACCUGAUACCCUGAAAGGAUUCAAAGGGACCUUUAACUAAUCUUUCUGGUUUCAGAAUGGAUACAAUAAACCCCAAGCGAACAAACACAACAGUCUUAGUUGCACAUUGACAUUUUCUGGCAUAUUUUGAUUAUCACCAUGCCUGAAAAACAUUAUAGAACACUAUAUCAGUUCUAAUAAGACAUCAUGAAGCAAAAGUGUUUGAAGAGAACUACUUUUUAAUUGAUUGGCUGCUAAAACAUUGAUGUAGCAACAUCAUCUCUUGCUGCAUUUGAGUAGAAAUUGUCUUUAAAGCACAAAACACACAUGUUUUAGUUGCUUUCAUGCGCUCAACCAUGUAAACUGUCCAUUCCUCUUAUUUAAUUUGUAUAAAAAAGACACACGGGAGUAAACUAACCUGCAUGCGCUUGAUGGAUUCUCAAUGAAAAAAAUCAGGGAUGUAUUGGUUGCAAGUCCCAUGCAAAUGAUUAUCAAAUUACAAAGUCCAGUAUAUCUAACAGCAUUCCUCUAUAGAAUUUUCACCAGACACAAUUAUCAUUUAUUUGUACAAGUUAAUCUGAUAGAAAAACCAAGAGAAGUCAAUCAAAAGACAGCAGUGAGUAAGCUUAAAAACUUUACUUGUUCUGCAACCUCUAUACUAUGCGUUAAUGCGUACACUAACAUUAAUCUCUACUGAAUACUUCAAACUUCAUAUAUUCUGCCAUAUCCUACUUCACCAACAAUUGCUAGGAUUUAAUUUCUCUAACAACUAUAAGCCCAAAAAUAAAAACUUAAGAUCAAUCAUUCAGUUUUUGAACAAAACACUUUUUUUUUAGAGCAAGCUACAUAGAGUAGCCUAAAAUUUAAUUUCUAUAAAAUCCAAACAAAACUUUCAAUUCCCUCCUUUAGUUGUUGAAUCAAAAUUAUAUCCUUAACAUAAACGAGUAGCCAUAAGCGAAAAUCUUAAGACCACUAAACUUCAUGAAUCAGAAACUAAUUCUUGAAACUUGAUCGCAAGGGAGUGAAACAAUUACUAUAACCAUCAAAUCUGAAAUUUAUUUUCAGUAUCAGAGCACAUACUCGGAGCAGGAAUCAAGGAGGCGGUCGAUGUCAUCAUUGGGAUUGGAGCCCCCCAGCUUGGCCUCCUUCAUCUUCUCGAUCUCCUUCAUCCAAAGCCCGGCAUGAAUCCUCUGCUUCCUGACCCUAUAAUCAUCUCCGGCCUUCUUGCUAUUCUUCUCAACCCGCUCGAAGGCGCUACCCCCCUGCUGGAGCUUCUUGGCAGCCCGCCUCUCGCUCCAUCGCUCGUCCAUCUCGGCGACGAAGGCCUUGGUUUCGGCAUCGAUGUCAGAGGGGAGGCUGGCGGCGGCAGCGGAGGGCGAGAUAGGGUCAGGCUCCCAUGGGGCGCGAUCCUUGGCGGAGGGGUCCUCCGGGAGCCAGGCCGUCUCCCAGGCGUCGUUCCAGUCGUCGUCGCCGGUGGCGGCGGACGAGGAGGGUGGUCGGGUGGAGAGAGGCCUUCGUCCUAGUACUGCUACUUCUCGGCUUAAGCAAGUAGGGGAGAAGGAGGAGGAGGAGAAGGGAGGAGGAAGGCGGAGAUGAGAUGGAGAGAAGGAGAGGAGACGUCUGAAGGAGUGCAUGUCGAGUGUUUGAAGGAAUGUUCAAACGAAUGGAAAAACAGGGACCGUAUCCUCGCCUAUGGUCUGCCGAGGGCCUCCUCUGUCGUCCAUAAAUUUUUGCUGGUUAAUUUAAGACGAGCAGCGAUUGCACGUGAUUAUAGUAAUAAGCAUAUUUUAGUAUCGAAAAAAUAUUAAAAGAUAAAAACAGUCAUUAAAUACGGUAAUAUAUGGGAGCUAUGACAAAAGUUGGAAAGAUGCAAGUAAAACUUAUGUAAACGUUGAGGGUUGCAAGUGACGUUACUAUGACUUCAGCUAAAUUGCACUGCGUUAUAUGAUUACCGGCAUAUGAAUCCCAUAGACUUCCUUCUUCUCUUAAAGUACAUGGCAGUCUCUACUAAUUACACAGAUUACCUGGAUACCUUAUGCCUUCGUGACAAUCUCAACUCAUCGAAAGAGUCACAAUCUACCUUCUAGCACAUCCAUCAACAAUGAUACCGUCUGAAAGCCAGAAAAUCCCCAGCAAUCAACUAUGUUACCAUCACACACGAGAUGAGAGCCCACUCUCAAGGCUCGUUUGGUUCGCUCAAAGCAUUUGUUCUCAUAGAAAUAUGAUUCCUGAGAAACAGAUUUCUAAAAAGAGGAUGUUUGAAAAAAUACUUUUGGCAUGUUUGGUUGACCAUAGAAAAGUGACAGGUUUAUAUAGUGCUUAUGUUUGGUUGAUCAUCCACUUUUCUAAAAAAGUUAUGUGUAAUUCCUAUUAUACCCUUAAUAAAAAUUAGGUCUUUAGUGCUUUGGAUCAAAUAAGGAUCACUGAGGGCUUUUUGGGGAAAAAAAUAAAAAUGUUUCGAUUUCUGGAUCACAAAAAAGUAACUUUUUUCAUUUUCUAAUGGAAAAGACUUUCUCAUAAAACGUGGAAAUCAUAUUUCCAUGGGAAUACAACUUUUUCGUCUUUCUUUUAAAAACUCCAACCAAACAGGAGACAUCUCUUACUUUCUUGUUGACCACACUUUCUCCCCUUCUUUUUCCGCGAACCAAACGAGCCCUCGAGCUUCUUUGUUCCAUUAAAAAAGAUUGUUGAUGAUCUUCUUUCUCUUGCAUCUCAUAUUCACUAAUAAUAACAAGGAAUUAUGAGCUUCAAAGUUGAGUCCAAGUAUAGAAGUAGGAGGAUUGUGCUAGGAAAUCAGCUCACCUUGUACACGAACAUCCAUAGAAGCGUCGAUUGGGGUUUGCCUUUGUAAUUGUAAAAGCAGACCGGAUGCCUCGAAAAUUGACGGUUAUUGGAGACUAGGUUUGAACGGCCUACUUGCACGAAGAAUGGAUAUAUGUACCCAUGUCAUGUCCCCGACCCGAGAUCGUGAGCCGGAGGUCACGGCAACCACCACACACUCAUAAAAAUUUCUCCUACAAGCAUGGAAGGCAGUUCAACAUGAUAUUAUAAAUAUACAGCAAAAUAAGUUAAACUACUAAUAUGCAAUCUUUAUUUCAUUAACUAACUCAACUUACAAUAUCUCACAAUUCUAACAUUAGUCUAAGGUAAUACAUUAAUUUAAAUAAUCUAAUUUAAAAUAACUUGCACCAUAGUUUUUCUAGUCGCUAUCCCAUAUUGAAAAAUCUCGGGUCGAACUAAUUCUUCAUAUUUAUAAAAAUAGUUAGAAAUUGUAUAAUGAGCUAGACAGCCCAAUAAGCAAUGAAUAUUUUAACUAGACAGUUCAUAUAAUGACAUAAAAUAUAAAUAUAAAUUAUGCUGAAUCGAUAUAAAGACAUAAUCAAUUUUGUUACUAGAACACAAAUCCAUGAAAAAUCUAUAUCUUUCAAAUAUUCGUAUAUAUAAUCAUAAAUCUGAAUCGAAACAAAUCACAUUUAACUCAACAGCCUUUAACUAUUGCCACACUUAUACUCUGUGGCAAGGUUAGAAAUAGAACCAUACUUAUAUCUUACAGAGUGGGCCAAAAUACCACACUUAUAUUCUAUGGAGUGGUCCGGAAUAUUACAUUUAUAUCUUGUGUGGGGCCAAAAUUCAUAAUAGUCAGAGUGUCGAUGCAUAACCCUUAAUUGUCAGGGUUCAGAAUAUAGUCAGGUUGAGAGUUCAAAUUUGAUACACAUCAAAAUUUUUUUAUAAAAUAAUAGUUAUAUCAUAAUCCAAUCAAAAUAUACAUAAAUGAUAUAAGAAUAGUAAAUAAUUUAACAAGAGUCUGAAAAAUAUUACUCUAAUUUAUAUAUCUAUUUUCAUUCAAUUCACCACCUCGUAAAAUUCAUAAAUCACAUAUAAAUUCAUUAAUAAUUUAUUCGAUGUAAAAAUACUAUUAUAUAAAUGAAGAAUUUGGAAAAAGACAUAUCAUUACUUACCUUACAAAUGCAAUCCAACUAAUAGAUCCAAUUAAUUUCGAAAAUUCUUCUCAUAGCCUAAUAUUCUAAAAUUAUACUUUACAUUAGAAUUUUAUCAUAAUUAUUUCAAAAAUAAAAACUUUAAAUUCCAACACCUUCAUAGGGCUGACCAAGCAUAAAUGUCUAACAUGCGAGUCGGCCUGAUUAGGAUGAUUUCAUCGAAUUAUGCUUAGACAAGGGCAUAGAUGGUUCAACGGAGUUCGGAGGUGAUCAAAUCUAGCAGUGUUGGCAAAGACUAGGGUGGAGGCUGACAUGUCGCCUGAUGACCUUGGAUCAGGACUCUUUACCUAGAUCGAUCUAAUAUUAUUGAGAAUCGUACGUACGGAGUUCAAUCAACCAUAGAGGAAAAAAGUCCAGAUAAAGAGAAAGACUUUGUGGAGAGAGAACAAGAGAGAGAAAGUGGGAAAGAGAGAGAAAAGAGAGCAGAGAUAAGAGAGAGAAGCUGAACUUUCUCUUCUCUCUCUGUUUUGGUUUCUUUUUCUUUUUCUUUCUUUCUUUCCCCUCUUCUUCUUUAGCGAAAUAGGGUAACUUCCACCCUAGUACCGAAACCACAGUGUCAAAGGUUGUGGUAGUGUCUGUCAGCCAAAGGACCGACGGCUGAGCCGCCAUGAACGGCGGCCCUGGGUGGACCCUUCGCCACAGCAUCUUCAACGAUGGUGGGCAAUCGGUAUAGAAAAGAGGAGAUAAAAAAAAAUCAAGAAGAGCAAGAAAAGAUCCACAUGAACUUGGCCUAGAUCAUGGCCAAUUCCCUUGAUCGACGGCUACAAGACCUUGGAGGUCUUGGGAGGGGGCGAUCAUCGGCCUAUGCCGGCGGCCGACGACAAUGAAUAAGAAAAGGAGACAACCGAAAUAGAGCACCCUAUUUUGGAUUGAACACUCAACAAUUUGCCUAAUAAAGAUAGCAGCAGCUACAAAACCUAAAAAAGAAAGAGAAGGAGGCGUAAGGUAAUUACCUUGGUCCAGCGAGGUGGUCUGACGGCUUCUCUGGCAAAGAUCCAAGGAAGAGACUCAGAAGAAGGAACUCGAGGUGGGUGGCGAUGCUUGGAGGAAUCGGUGAUGGCUUCCAAUAGAGGGGGAGGAGGAUCUUAAAUAGAAGAAAUCCUAGUGUUCUAGAUGAACUUGGAUUGCCCUGAAAGUCUAGAAUUCCACCGGGAUCAGGAGAGGGAAGAAGACUCCGAUUAUGCUCAGCCAUGCUAACGGGCCCUGGCCUCUCAGGCCGGCCUAUUGGCCCAAAGAGCUGGAUUAUUACAGCCCAAGUUCUAACUUCCUUCUAACUGGUACCAAAUAGAUAGCAUCAUUAGGAAGUGUCGCCAUAAAAGAGUAUUUUAGUUUUAAAAAUCUUACAUAACCAUCAUAUGAUGAAAUUUCGCAUGCCUAGAUAAACAAAGAUGAACAACAUGAUCAUACUAAACCACUUAAUUUACUUUAGUGACUAUUUUGAAACUUUUUAUAUUUGAAAGGUACUAAGUGAAACUGGUCAUAAAUUACAAGGGUAUAUAAGUAAUGUUUACAUAUAAUUUUAUUUGACUUCUUAAUACAAAGAUAUAUGAGACUCUUUUCCUGGAUGGAGGAAAUGAGCUACGCAAAGUGGUGUAGCUUUCUGCCAAUAUCCCUAAUCUCCAGAAUCUAAUAAAGACAAAAUUCGAUCCCAAGCUAGUUUUCAAACUCAUACAAAGAUUUAUUUUAAAUCAUGUCAUGCCUUUAGGAUUUAAAACAUUGUAACCUAUUUGAUGUCUUCUAGCAAAUUUUAACAAACAUGAUGUACACUUAUAUGAUUUGAAUUUUAUUUACGAGGCAAAUAGGUUUCGAUUCACACCACAAAACACAAACUUAAUCAUGCUUAGGAGCUUCUCCAAGAAAAUUGAUUUAAAUGGUUAUCUUAGUCCACCUUAUUAUAGAUUGUGAGCCCUGCCUUCUUCUUCCUUGAGAAUAGAAUGUGAAAUUGUCGAUGCACAAUUGUGUUACUAAGAGUUUGACACUGAGUUAGUUAGUUUCUUAGAAUUUGAUCGCAGAUGGCUAAUGAAUGCAAAAUGGAGAGGUUAUGCUUGGCUAUAGGCGUGGGUUCUCUGAAUCCAAAGUAUAUUUGGUGAGAACGUUGUGGGUCAGGAAAAUGAAGCCCAACAACUCCACAACUAUAACUAAUAAUUAUUUUCACUAUAAAUACUCCAUAUAUCAAUCCUGUUUUCUUCUUUCCAUAUUUAUUUGGUAAGGAUUAUUCCUUUUUAUUUGGCUAAGAACAUUAUACAUAAUAUUGUUCAUCAUAGUUACAUGCUAUACUUAAAUAACAGACAACUAGCAUUCAUGUGCAAGGUUAAGAAUUUUUAUAUAAUUAAAGAAGAUGAAUUAGAAAUUUUUUAUUUCGGUAGAUUCUAGAAAAAAGUUAUUUUCUUACAUGGUGGGAUUAAAGAAAAAUGGUUAUUUUCAUGAUAUGAUGCAUUCUUGAUUUUUUCAGAUUUUUAGAAGAGGUAGAGAUUUGGUGCAGAUAGGGUGCAUCUUGAGGAAGACUCUUCUAUCAUGAUUGAUUGGAUUCGGAGAGAGGACCGGUAUGGGUGUAGGCACUCGUUAUUGUAUAACAUCUGUCGACUGGUGGGAGACUUGGAUUAUUUUCAGGCAAUUCAUGUCUUCAGAGAGGCCAAUAAUGCGGCUGACUGGGUUGCCUCUUUUGUUGCUCGGCAUUCUGGUGCAGUCUUGUGGACUACUGAUUUAGCUAUUCCUUCAUGUUUACACUUUUUCUCUUUCUUAAUUUUACUGGCUGUACUUAUACUAUAGCUGUUUGAGCUGCCGUUGUAUAACCAAAAAAAAAAAAAAAAAAAGUCAGUUUUCGUCAUUGGGCCGGCCUGUACUCCAGAGAAGCAGGGCCAGCCCAAUGAGCCCAUUAACAAUGUAACUGGCCUGCGGUUAUGGUUUUGGUUUUCUGUAAAAGGCGGUAGCUUCCGUUUCUUAAAUUUCCGGAGGCGAGGGCGGGAGCCAGCGAGGGAGAAGAAGAACCAGCCAUGGUUCACGUUAGCUUCUACCGAAACUGUAACCCUUGUUCUCUCCCCCUUUUCUCUUUCACUUGUUUCUAUUCCAACCUUUCUUCGGCAAUCUCCCCUUUGUAUAAUCUUCGAUCGUUUUCGGUCUAUUCAAACUCUUAGAUCCUAUGUCCCCAAGUUUUGAUCCCUUUUUACUCUUUCUUGAAUCGAUCUGAACUCAUAGGUCAGGAUAACUGAAUUUAUUUGUAAUUUUUGGAACUUUGGAUCCAAUGUGGCAGGAUAAUGAGAUGUUUUGCGCCAUCAUUCAACUAUUAAGUGUAAUGGAUGAAAACCCUAGUUAGGAUUUUGGUUUGUGCAUGGAUUUUUGGGGACCCUAACGAAUGGGAGUUGUUCGCAGAUGGGAAGACCUUCAAGAAGCCCCGCCGCCCCACGAGAAGGAGCGGCUGGACGCCGAGUUGAAGAUCGUCGGUGAGUACGGGCUCCGGUGCAAGAGGGAGCUGUGGAGGGUCCAAUACUCUCUGAGCCGGAUCCGGAAUGCAGCUAGGGAGCUCUUGAAGCUGGACGAGAAGAACCCUCGCCGGAUCUUUGAGGGAGAGGCCCUCCUCCGCCGCAUGAACCGGUAUGGACUCCUCGACGAGAACCAGAACAAGCUGGAUUAUGUUCUGGCUCUCACCGUCGAGAACUUCCUUUAGCGCCGGCUCCAGACGCUCGUGUUCAAGUAUGGGAUGGCAAAAUCAAUUCACCAUGCCAGGGUCCUUAUCAGGCAGCGUCACAUCAGGUUUGCUCUCUGACUUCUAGCUACUCUCAUUAUUAUUUUGAUUUAUGUGUGGGAAUGCUAAUUAUUCUAAAAUAUUAAUUGUAGAUCAUAAUUUUCAUAGAUUUGCUCCAUUCUUAGCGUCUCGUUAGUAAUUGUUCGUACUCUUUUUACUUGCUUCUGGUAUGUUAGUUUGUAAUAAAGACGUAUUAUUUGAUGGAUCAGUAACUGCUUGCACCCUGAACUAGAUCGACCUGUAUUUGGUGAGUUAUCAAAUGGCCUACUGUGGAGCGGUUGCUUGCUGUGCAAGAUUUUAUUAUGUUGUCUUUCUAGUAGUUUGCUCUCCCAUUGAUUUGGUGAUAGGGUGACUUCUAUGACACCCGUUAUCUCAUGAGUUCUUGCAUAAUCCAUGAUGUUUGAGAUGACAUUUGAUUGGAUAAGGUGCACGUGUAAAAGUCAAAAGCAAAGAAGAAAUUAUUGAUCUUUUGCUUGUUAUCUCUGGUUUGGACUUGUCUUCCCUGUACAAUGCUGUAUACAUGUUUACAUUCAUGACCAACCAAUCUCAGUUGUGCUUUUGAUUUUAGUUGGGCAAGAUUGGUUUUUAUUUGAAGUUUAAAGUUUUUGCCAAAAAUUAGUAAACAAUUUAAAAAUAAGAAGGUACAACCAAACUAAAGACUAAAUAACAACAUCAAGAAUGAUUAUGCUAUCAUUUAAUAUUGUGUCCCAUCAAUUUGAACCUUUGGCUAUAAUUUGUGUGGUUUUGUUGGUCUGAUGAUGCAUGUGAAAUUGUUCAAGCUUGUAAAAAUAUACAUUUUUUUGUAAAAAGUAGAAAAUAAACAUUAAGUUGAAGACAUUAGAUUAGACACUAUUGUUCAAAUCUUAAUGUUGUUUGGUAAGAAUUUUCAACCAGACAUUCAUUUAUAUCAUAUCAACAAUUUUUCCCUGAAAGGUCAUUUAGAAUUUCAUUGGAGUAACAUGGUUGUCCUAGGUUUUCAUAAGCAAGAUUCCUACAAAUUUAAAUCACUUAUAGAACUAAGAUGUUCCAAAAUAUUACAUUUCUAGUAGCAUUUUAAGAUAUAGAACGCCUAUCACUUAUGCUAUCAAGAUACUUAAAACAUGCAUAGUUGGACAUGUAUCACAAAAAUGAUUCCUACAGACUUAAACUUUUCAGCAGUCCUCUAACUCAACCACACUCCCCCCCACGAGCUUAAAUAAAAACUAUCAAAAAUAGCAUGAAGAUGAAGUUUGUAACUUAAUAAGACCUUUUCAUCCACGUCUGGUCAGUUAUGGUUGUAAUCACUAAAAUUGGUGGAAACCGGAUUGAGACUGUUAGAGAUGAGCAAAAGUGCAAAAGAUCCAGCAGUUCCUGAUCACUUUUGUUUGAAACUUCAAACAUUGAUCUGUAGGUUUAAGUACUAGAAGGCUAUAUAAUAUGAACUCAAUUAAAUUCUAACUUUUUAACCUUGUAUGAUUUAUUUCUUUUCUUUCCUUUUUGUCAGAACAUCUUAAUACACUUUCCUUUUUUCAGUCAUCUAUAUUAUUUGACACUUUUGUGUUGAUAAAUAAGUAGUUAUGCAAUGAGAAUAGUUAUUAAUAUCUCAUGAUGGUUAUCUGAGACACCUGCAAAUAUUGUUUAGAUGUUGCAAAAUAAUCCUGACUGACCGACGCUUGUAUUUUUGUCUUUCCUUUUGUUUUAAAGUUGAUGCAAAAUGUCUUCUACAUCUCUUAAAAUUUUGAUACCUUAUAUGCUUGGAAACUAAAACUGGCUUGAACUACAGAAACUGCUGAAACUAGAGCAAUUUCAAAUUGCUUUUGGCUGAAACUCUAAACCUUGACCUAUGGGGUGAAGCACCUGAAGGCUAAAUCAUUCUCUUUUUCCAUCAGUAUAUAUCAGCAGCUGUGUUGUUAUUUUUGAAAUUUUCCGGCCUACAGGAUUUUUUGAUGUUGAUGUAAAAUAGGCCUUGUGAUGAGAACAGAUUGUUAUAUCUCAUGAUGGUCAUCUGAGACAUUCAUAAUGUUGUCUAGAAUGAUGAUAAAACUCCAAUCUCUGAUGCCUGUAUUUACAUCUAUCUUUUGUUUUCUCUUAAAAUUGAUGCAGUAUCCAUCUCCAUUUAUAUUGCUGAAUUUUUGAUAAUUUCAUGUUGAUGAUACUUAUUUUUUCUGAGCAGUUUCAUGAAUGCAAUAAACAUAAACCUCCUUAUUCUGACCACUCUAUUAUUUAUAGGUUUAAAGUUCUUUUAUUGUUUUGUGCACGUAUUCUCAUGUAAUAUGUCAUUGGGCACAAUGAGGAAGUUGCUAAUGAUUGGGUGAGGCAAUGUCUGAUGAGUAUACCUAUAAGUCCUUUUCAUUCUGAGUGCCCAACCAUCCUGCAUAUGUCAAUUAUUGUUCAGCCCCUCAGAAUCAUAUAAGCCAUGAUCAAUUCUCUCUUUCCGACCAUCAUGUGGCAAGUCAAACUUGUAAAUACUGAUCGGGGUAUUAAGGCAUGAUUGUUUAUGAGCAUCCUUUUAAGGGAACUUUUGUUAUUGGUUCAUAUUUGAACCAAAUAUUGAAGCUUUUACCUAGCGUACAGGCUGGUUUCCUUAAGCUCAUGAGCUUGUUGUCUUUCCGAGCGAUAGGGCAGACCUCAUAUUUGACUGUUGAUGAUUGUCACAGCAUCCUGACUCUAAAUACUUGAUUCUGGAGAUAAUUCUUUUGCAAUAGCUCUAAUAGUAUUUAUCUCUUUUAGCAUGUAAUGCAACUUGUUUGCCUAUUAGUUCCUGCAUGUCAUAAAGCACACAUGUAACUUGUUUGCCUAUUAGUUCCUGCAUGUCAUGAAGCACACAUGUAACUUGUUUGCAUUACUUUCACUUAGCACAAUGCUGUUGUCAGCCCAUUGAGUUUGUAAGAUGUUAUUUUCAAAGGCAAACAUGGUCUUUUCUUCCCCUCAAAUAUUUAUUGUUUGAAUUUCGAAUGGAAGCAAUAUAUGUUAUUCUCAACCAUCAAUAUGUCACAUAUGGUUCCCUUAUAAAAUCUUUAUGAAUCCAUAUCUCUAUUUGUAGGUCGGGUGUUCAUGUGACGUUCUAGCAAGUUUUUGCCUUGUUGAGGUUGGUCUUCAAUACUAACAAGCAAGGUGUUGGGGAAUACAUUUUAGCAUUUAUGAUAGAGUAAUUUUUGGUUCUGGGGUUUCCGAUGGUUGUUUGUUUGGACCUGGAAUUUGAGCUAUUAUCGUUUAAAUGACUUUGCUGUAAUUAUUAUACGGUAGUUGCCUGUACCUCUCAGCAAAUUACUGUCAUCGUAGUAUUUGAAUUACUUUUCUCAGAGGUUUUGCUUUCAGAUUUUGGCUGCUUUGCAUUAUUAGCUAUUGUUAUGCCGAAUAUCAAAGUAUGUGUAUAUCUGACUAUCUAUUUUCUGAGUGCUCCUUUCAGAGUUGGUAGGCAAGUGGUCAACAUUCCAUCAUUUAUGGUGAGGGUGGAUUCAGCAAAGCACAUUGACUUCUCUCUCACAAGUCCAUUUGGUGGAGGGCGCCCUGGAAGAGUGAAGAGAGAGAAUCAGAAGGCUGCAGCAAAAAAGGCGGCCGGAGGCGAUGGCCAUGAAGAUGAUGAGGAAUGAGUGCUCUUCCUUAUAAUGGUAUUACAGUUUUGGUAGCUUCUUUUGUUUUGUGUAACUUAAAGUUUGCUAUGUUUCAUGCUAAGAUGUUUCUGUCACUUGUAGAAGGAUGACCGAUUAUUGUUUUUGUCUGAAGCGAUCACGAGAUGAUGGAUUUUGAGAUGUUGAAUUUUUGGUUAUAGUUGGCUUUUGGGUUGAUAUACAUGGAUAAUCGUUGUGGUACAAGAUUCUUGUGUGGAAAAGCUAUUUCCUCGAUGAGUAACUGAUGCAUGUACUGAUUUUUGUAGUUGUUUAUUUGUUUCAUUAGGAUUUAAUGCUUUGUUGGCUGCUCCAUCUUUGGUCUUGUUCAGUCAUUCAAAUCCAUGCAAUAUCCUCAUUGCUAUGUCUCAAUUGAGCCUCACCCAAUUCUUAGACUGGCUACUAGAUUUAUUUAUCCUGCCCAGUUUGCGUGAUGGUUUGUUCAUCUUGGUAAUCAUAUGCUAGCUUUUGUUGAUUGUUUUUUGUUCUCUUUUCGUUACACUUGUCGUGUGGCAAAGCUAAUUACUUUCGCUUUGCUGCAUGUGUGCCUUCCUCUUGCAUGAGCAAAUUAAACCUGCCAUAGUUGUGAUUUUGUUUCUUCAUUGAUCGGAUGGAAUCUAUUAGACAUUUUUGGUUUCAGUCCAUCAAUGUAGGUAUAUUUCAUGAGUUCAAAGCCUUGGUUUCACCAGCAUACCAUAUGGAACCACUGUGUUUCAGCUGGCUUUUCUCUGUCCCUUUUUUUGAUCAAAUUUAAUUUUGGUUACUUGUCUACUUUUGAUCGCCCUGCUUGACUCUCUUGGCCAUGGGCUCUUCGGACUUCGGAGGCAACUUUAACACAUGCUUUUUAGUGUGGCCAACAAUCAAAUCAGCUCCUUCGUGAGCAUCUCUGGCUUGUGCUACAGUCUCCGUCUUCUGCUAACCAGCUCCUUCGUGUGCAGGGGUACCCAUAUCUGUGAUUACGCACGAAACUUUUUAGCGAUCACAUAUAGAUAUAUGUCCGAAUCGGAUUUCGGGCAAAUUUUAUUAUUAUCCAUGCCCGUCGUCUAAGAUCUAUUGUGGGUGGUAAAAUCAGUCCUAUUCAAGCCGGCUCGGGUCAAAUAUUUAAUACAGCGGAAUAAAUUGUCAUUCCUACUCACCAACUUUUUGUUGCUACGAUUAUUUGAUUGUCGCAUGAUCAUAGGCUUUAAUCUUAUCCGGAGAUUGUCUUCGAAAUAUCCUUAAAUUACUAUUUUACAGUCUAUUAACUUGAAGCUGUUGGGGUUGGUCCUGUUAAAACAAUGGCUUAGCAAGGUUAUAGGCUGUGCCUGGUCGUUGAUCACGCUUAUGUGCUAAUUGAUUCCCAUUUCAGCUAUAGUUCUUCUUUAGUUAUAUUGUCAUUUUUCUGCUCAUUCUAGUGGCAAUUGACAUUGUCGGGGCACAUUUUACCAUUAUCGGACUAAAUAAAAUUUAUUGACUAAUUUAUCCUCAUGGAUUGAGAAUGUUAGUGCUCCCAAUAUAUUUCUUCUAUUUUUCCAUCAAACUCAGAAAGCAAGCGAGACCUUGAAAGCUGCUUUUUCAAGUGUCAGUAGCGGGCGAAUUGAGCGAGCGAGCGAAGUCUUCCUGGAGCUUCCCCCUUCCUCACCCUACAAUUUCAUUUCCGCUGCUUUCUAUUCUCGCGCGAAUCUUGAAUCUAAAACACUCUUCAAUACUGUGAACCUUCCAUUUGACUGGCUUCUUUCCCCCUCGAUCCAAGAGGGGUUUCGAUGAGCUUUCCGUGCUUGCCUUGGCGGAGCGGCUAGGGAGCAACCAAAGAUGGCGAGGUAUUGAUGGUGAUAGCAGUAUUGUGGUGGUGGUGGACAGGUUGUAUAGAAUCGAACUAGGUGGAAGCAAGAGAGAUAAGGAUUUGAGUGAGCCGUUGACGGGGGAUGGAAGAUAUUUGAGUGGUCACGAUCGUAGGAAUGAAAAUUGUUGUGAUGGUGGUAAUAGUAGUAGAGGAGAGAGUGAAGGUCAUGGUUGAGGUGUGGGUGGUGAAUGUUGCAACAAUGAUGAUGGUGGUAGUAGUGGUUAUGGUGAUAAUAGAUGUGGGGGUGGUGGCACCGCUGGUUGGGGUAAUGGAGAUAGUAGGGUGGAGUUGAGAUCCGUCGAAAAGAAAUAUCAUUUAGAAUGAACUUCGGACCUAAUUAUCUUAUAUUUCACUAAUUUUUUUAAAAAUAGAAGAGAACAUUGGUUACUUUGAAUGUAUAUAAAAACUGAGGAUAGGGGGGUCACUCUUAGUGGUUUUUAAAAGUUCUAAAUAAGCAACAUACAUUGAUGGAAGGUAGAAAUUACAAGUGGGUGCUAUCUAUGGCUAAAUAUUGAGCAUGCAUCAUCCAAGAAUUGAAUACGAAACCUUUACUUCAUGGACAAACAAGUGCCACCAAGAGAUAAAGCAUUUUGAAACUUCACCAAAUAUUUUUUAUACCUUAAAAAAAAAGGUUUGGACACCGCACAUGGCCGGACACAAUUACUUUUUUGUUAAAUAGUAAUCACAUAAUCUUUGAAAGCUAGCAUUUUAUUGUUUACAUUUGAGAACAAAUAGAAGCACCCUAGGCUACAUUAAGCCUGACUUCUUGGUUUACUUUGUUCGCAUAUGGAUUCAUCUUUCAUUUUUCUUUUAAGUGACAUAACUAUGCUUACAAUAAGAUGAGGAUAUUUUAUUUAUCGAUUAAUGUUCAAUAUCGAAAUUAAAAUUAAAAUUUAAUUAUUCGAGAUUUAGUGAAGUGGUAUUGAAUUCAUCAGGUGACAUGAAAUUAAGAAUUGUAAUCUGUGAGAAAAAUUCAGAAUGUCUAAAACAUCAAAACUUGAAUUCAGGGCAAGCUCCAUCCUUUUCAUCGAUUAAAAACCCUCUCGAUAUGAAUACGAUUCAGUAACCAGGGUCCAUGGGGUGGUUGCAAGCGGGCAUCCGGGAUUCUCAUGACGUGGACCGGACCCCACGUGUAGCCCAUCAUACCACAACACCCAUGACACGUGUCAGCAGUCAUAUCCACGUGGCUCCCACGUGCCUCUACGUGCUUUUAAUAGCCCGCGCUCACCCCCUCCCCUCUAUACCCAUCUCGCCGGCAGGCGUCUCCGCGCUAUCGAUCCAUCCAUAAGCCAUCUCUUCUCGUCCCUCUCCGGGGAACAUCGAGUGGCCUCACAAUCUCUCCGAUCUCCAUCGGACGGAUCGAAUCGACGAAGAAAUCGGCAACAACGAGCUUUUCCCCUCUUCUCGGGUAUCUUGUCUCUCUUUGUUUUGAUCUUUGCUUUUUUCCCCCCUUUCCCAAGUUCUACCAUCGUUUAAUUCCUGGGUUAUUAUUUCUUUUAUAAAUUCUUCUUAGACUAGAUCACAUUUUUCCACCGAUCUCUCGUGUCUGAUUCCAAUUUCCGGUCAAUUCCAUUAUUCCUAUAGCUUGGUGCUCUUGAUACUUGAAUUGGAUUUAUCAAAGCUGAAAUAAUUUUGGGCAGUAUGGCUACAUGGUUGGCAUGUUUCCAGAACUUCGAUAAAGGUGGACUUAAUUAGAAUUGGUCGACAACCCGAUCCUUCCGAGCUUCAAGUGGAUCGGCCCCAUGGCCAUAUUCAUGUUCAUAUAUCAUGUCACGGUGUCCCAUGAUGAUCUUUUAUUUCCUUACAUAUAUUAUAUUAUAUCGAUUGUGAGGUUUUUGAUAAAAUAUCGCCCACAUGCAAAAGUAAUCUUACGCAUGCACAUAAGAAUUUUAUAUCAAACAUCUACUUGCUACAGUUUAAUGCUCGUCUGUUUGUCAAGAGCAAGGUGAUACGACGGAUGCAUGUGAUUCCAUCGAGCAUGAUUUUUUCCCCCUAAUUUUAUUUUGAAAUGUAGCGGCCAUGUCAUAAAUUUAAGAGAUGCAAACUAGUUUUUUUUUUUGAAAAAUGCAUUUAAAAUAUCAUUAGCAGCAUGGUAUGUAAGGAUAACAUGUUAGGAUUAGAUAGAUAAUACCAAUCAGACAUCAUAAUGAUUUUUUUUUUCUUCUGUACGUUCUUGUCUACACUACUUAUAACUCGUAAAAGACUUUGAAUUGAUUUGCAUAAUAAUUUGCAUUUUAUCUAUUAUUGGUCUGAUUUCAACUCCAAGUUUUAAGUAUUUAACCAUGCUAACCACUACUGUAUAAAAUCGACACCGCCAACGAAUUACACUUUCUCGUGUGCAUUAGAAAAUUAGUGCAAGAUUCCAUGUAUUGCACUGUUCCGAGUCUGAAUCAGAAUACUAGCGCAUGAUUUGGAGGAUACUUAUAAAAUUGAUAUACACCCUAUGUAUUGUACUUUUCCUGGCGUGCAUCAGACGACUAGUGCAAGUUUUGGAGCGUUCUUAUAAGAUUGACACACCCUUUGCGUUGCACUGUUCCUAAUGUAAAUCAGAAUACUAGUGCAAGAUUUGGACGGCACUCAAGAGAUUGACACCCCCUAUCCAUUGCACCGUCCGUCGUGCGAUCCACAGAACUAGCGGAAUACGCGGCAGGGGCGUCACGUCGUCCUCAACUUGGGGUUGAUUAAUUGGAGACCCGGACCGUUCUUUCUUGACGAUGCUUUGAGGGUAAUUUAGUAGUUGAGAUCUCCCUUGGAGCCUCGAGAAAGAAACAUCCAACGACGUCAUAGAUGCUGGACACAGUACUGCGAAUACGAUGACGUGGUCCACCUGUCGGGCGGUGAGGACCACCUUAUCGAUGCCGGGCGAUAACCGCCACCAGCGAGAGCCUGAUACGCUUUAAUACUCGUGUCCGCCGGGAGACGUACGCACCGGGCUACUUGACGUCGCCGAUACCUCACUGCCGUUGGAUUGCGGUGGGUCCCGCUGUCCUCUCGCCCGACACGGUGCGUAAAUUGCUCCUUUGUCUCUGCUCCGAGCCAGGACCGACCUCAUGCGAUCGAGUCCUUUCGUCUACAAUGCCUUUUUUUGGCGAGAACUAAGGCUUUGUUCACGAAACUACUCAUCUAGAGGUCUCCGAGUGUACGCCUCUAGUUUGAUGAACUUUUUUUUUUUGGUUUGUUUUCCUAGUUUAUUUAGAUGACUCUGAGCUCUAGAGUCGCCUGUGAAGUGGUUCUCAAACUUCGAUAGAUCGCACUUCUUCUGUCUUAUUUUAUCGGAGAUACGUUGGAUCCUACUUCGAGCCAUAAAGUUUGACUUCCCAGUUCCCAUGGUUUCUCUGCAAAGUGAGUACAGGGGUACAUUCCAUGAAUAAUAUUAUAUAUGGAAGAUUUCUCUCAUAUGAAGCAUUCGAGGCUGCCCUCUGUCUUUACCUCCAUGUAAGUCUGGCAUGGGAUUCUAUGUUUGUAGAUCUCGAUCUAUUUUUUAGCCCCACAAAGUCAUGCUAGCUAAUUAGUUUAGUAUUGUCUGACUUGGUUCUUAAUUGAUGCAAACUCCUAUGCUUUCUACAUAACUCGGUUCAAGCUAGCUAGCCCACUGAUUGGCUUUGCUAUUAAAUUGGGCACACGUACUUGUAUAUUUCGUACACCAUAUGCAACCAAAAAAAGAGAUUACAUUGUGGGUGUGGUUAACUGGAAAUACAAAUAUCGACUGCAACACCAAAGGAAAUCCAAUUACAUAAUACUUUCUCCAUGGUCGGUUGGUUGUCAUGGAAGAAGCAACUCAAGCCAGACCAGAGAAAUGUACAAGAAAAUGGAGGGUAAGCGAGAGUACUACAAGCUCGUCAAGCAAAGGAACGGUUUCCUACUAGCUAAUGCUUUAGUUUAUGCUCGGGUACACCAUAUAUAUAUAACCAGGGGUCCGAGAGAAUACUAUAGGAGGAGCAAAAACAGCAGGCAGACUAAACUCUUCCUAGGACCUAAGGAGGCUCCUGAUGAUCUCAGCCUGGGGGCUGUUGGAGUCCAUCGUAGCUAUGAGGUCGGACAGCCGGUCACUUAGGUCGUCCACCUCCUGAUGCAAGCUCUUGAUGUAGCUGCACGUCUCCUUCAGCAGCUUCGACGCUGAUGCCUAUAUGAAUGAAACACAAUGACUGUGUUAAUAAUUAGUAGCUUCUGAAACUUGAAAGGAAGUAGGAUCACCUGAGCCUUUUGCUCAGGUGGCGGUGGUUUCUUUACCCUGCCUAUGUUCCGGCGACGGGACUCGGGGAGCAGAGUUUGGAGCUUGGAGAUGAGCUCAUUGAUCUCCUCAUCCGUGAUCCUCCUCCGGCUGGACGACAUCUUGAUAGGGGACCCAAGUACGAGAGCGAGAAGAGAUGGGAGGAAAAGGUGAGAGAGACUGAAAGGGAGUGAAUUUAAAACAACGGANNNNNNNNNNNNNNNNNNNNNNNNNNNNNNNNNNNNNNNNNNNNNNNNNNNNNNNNNNNNNNNNNNNNNNNNNNGGGGGGGGUGGGGAGGGAAAGGGAGGAAAGAAUUGGGAAGGCCUCUGAAAAACCAGUUAGCGAGAACGUAUAUUAAGAGAGGCUAGAGGUCCUACAUGUCCCCCAAGGGUUCUCAUGGUGGACCCACUUUGUUACAAGACCCGUGGGCUCGGAGCCUACUUAAACUCGUCCAAUUGGUAUGGAACAUAGCAUUUUGAGGUAAAAACACAGGCAAUGUGACCUUAACUCGGUCACUUAACCAUUUCACAAUGUACCCAAAAGAUGCCUUCUGUCUCCUUCUGUUUUAGUGCACCUACUCUCCCUUGUCCUUAGCAUAGUCAUGUCAUUGUGGUAUUGACAUGUUCCUUAACUUUCGAUCCAAAAAGCCACUUCAUUAGGGCAGAAAUUUAGAGCUUUUCUCAAUCCGGAACCUCCUUGCAGUUUAGGGUAGAUGAUGGGGAAUUAGAGAAAGGAGAUUAGGAUACGGUCUCUUGAUGUGGCAUAAAUCAAGGGACCAUGAAUCCACGUGGUUGCCCUAUGCCUUGACUUUGGAUCCAUGACAAGACGGUGGCCGGUCUCCGCCCUCUGGGACGAAGCCGCCGCAAUGUCGGCCACAACGACCAAGCCAUGUGGAGGCUCUGAAUUUAUCCACGUGAUCGGGUGAAGUGGCGGUGGCCCAUGGGUCCCAUACUGCUUGGUGGGCCGGGUUGGCAGGCCCACGGGCCAUAAUGAGGCCAGGUUCACCGUAAUGAGAAUGUGUGGUGGUGGUUUAGUUAGUGGUUGUGUUGUGAGGUGGGGGGAGUGACACCAUGUCUGGAGGGAGAACUUACUCCCUGUCAGAGAGAAGGCCAAUUAAGGUGUGUUGGGGGACAUGGCAGGGCCCAUUCAUUAGAGCAGGGAUUGGCUUAUAAGAAAAGAGCAGGUACAAACACUACAGAAAAAUUAGGUAUUGUCGAUGCUUUUUAAUAUAUAUACCGACGUGAAAAAGCGUUGAUAGUUUUAUUUCCGAUGAUUUCUAAAGCGUCGCAAAAGUACCGGCUAUGCUACCGUCGAAAACCAACUUAAAAAGCAUCGGUAGUUAGAUGCCGAUGCUUAUAAGUGUCGGUAGUUAGAAAAAAAAGCUGGUACAAAGAAGGGGGGUUUACAUGAUACUGGAAAGAGAUCCAACUCCAAAAGAACAGGAGUCCCUCUCCGGGCUAGGCAUCAGAUGCCCAUGUGAUGAAAAGAGACAUGGCAUGGGUAAAGUGGGAGAGGUUCUCUUCCAUUCAGUACUACCUAUAUAUAUUACAUGGACUGCCUAACCAUUCCAUCCCCCACACUCACAUGCCCUUCUACUUCACAAGCUUCUUAGAGACAAGGAGCAAACAAAUAUUUGGGGGAAAAUAGAAACUGAGUAAUGGGACUCUGAGAAUAAGACCCAACUUAAAAAAGAUAUUUCUUUGUGAAGUUACAAGUAUUAGGACACCAAAUAAAAACAGAAGAAAGGGGUUAAAUGUUAAAAUAUCUAGAGAAUCAUCGAGUAAAUGAUAGAAAAUUUUUGUUGGUAACCUAGCUGCGGAAGCAAUAGAAGAGGCUGAUUAUCUAGAGCCCAACAAAUCAUGCCAAAUAUUAUAUAUUGGAUAUAUAUGACUUCCAUAUUAGCAUCACUCACCCUAAUAACACCACCCACAUGAGUGAAUACAAACGACACUGAUAUCUCAUCAAAUUAAUAGAUACUAAAACAAGAAUGAUAGAGAAUUGUGAGUAAUUUGCAAAAGUCAUUAUUUAAUUAUUUUUUAGAGAAAAUUACUUGUCUAAUCACUAGAUACAAAUACGAGAAAUAACCAAUUAUCACGCAAGCUUGGUCAAACGAUAAUCUAUAUAAUUAUGUACGGCUUCCCUUAAUUUGUGGAUGAGCUUGUCUCUGUGAGAGAGAGAGAGAGAGAGACGUGCCUUUCUGGUCUUCCCUCAGACGUGAUACAACUACAUACCGUGGGCGACGUUGCAUGGGCUGCCCCCAUGCAUGGCCACUCUCAUGUGGUCAUGUCCUAGGGUCACCCCAGUCUUCUGCUCUCUCUUUAAACUUUACCCACCAGUGGAGCUGGGGGUGUCCGUGGCUGUACCUUUGGAUCUCUCGGGUGGGCGGUGCAGGCGUUGAACCCACACCAACCCCCCCCCCCAAAAAGUAAUACCAACUGCCUUUGGCGGUGAGUAUUUUAUUGCUUUAACUCCCUUGGCGUGCGUUUAACUUGGCCCCCCUGAUGUCUCAUGACCACCUCUAACUGUAGCAUUUUAGCCGGAGAUUGUGGCCGUACCGACCGGUUUGAGUCCAUCAUUUAUUUAUUAAUUAUUAUUAUUAUUAUUAUUAUUAUUUUGUCCUUCAGUGGCUUACCCCGAACGGAUGUGCAUAUAGCCUACAAAAUAUUGCGCAAAGAUAUAGGCACAGUCCCGUAGUCUAUACAGGAGAACCUCGAGAGAGAUGAGUCGCGAAAUAAGCAACUCAGUUUGCAGCACCAUUCACCUCCUGAUAUAUAUGCAUGGUCUGAUAAGAGUCCAUCAUUUUUUUGAAGAUAUAUUGCAUGUUUACAUUUGGAUUCUCUAACAAAAGUGUUGCACUUGACUCGUGGAAUGUGUCACGCUUCAAAUUGAGGGGCAAAUGCUUGUUAGGACCGGUGCUAGGUAGAAGAAAACGUGAUCCAUUUCGGCUGUGAUCUUGGUUUGCAGGAAACUAGUCUAGUAAUUGAACCAUGUCCCAUGGCAAAACUAUUGAACAUGACAAGUUUAUCAUGAAGUUUGUGCAGGGUUUAGUUCAAGUAAAAUUUGUCAGCACAGCAGGCCUAGGCUUUUUUGUCCAGCUCGAGUUCCAUUGACCAUCGUUAUCAACCUCACUUUUUUUUUAUUUUUCUUUUUUCAAAGAGCCAAUGGCGACUCCACGACCUCUCUAGAUCAUGUUCUGGCCCUCUUGGUAGGGGUGUCCACUUGCUAGAAGAUAAGAUAAUGGUAUCUUGGAAAUUGUUUUGAGCCAAAGAGGGAGUUUUACAUCACCAAAUCUUCUAUGUAUCCUAGCAUCUAAUGAUAAUAGAGAGAGAGAGAGAGAGAUCAUAGCAGGAGGAUAGGACAAAGUUAGUGUACAUGGUGCAUGAUGCACGGUAAAGCUGUCUAUUGAUACAUUUUGUAUAGAAUGAGCUUCGGCAGUAAAAGUACAUGUUUCAUUUUGUAGCAGAUGGGAGCCCCACAUCGGCAGAAACCGGCAGCUGCACUUGAACAAGUUCGAAUUUUCUAUAAACUAGAGUCUAGCAAGUGCGACGCGCAUGCCAUAAUUUUAGAACUCUGAAAUGUGAGAGAUACAAAUGUAUGGGAUUUGAGAGAUUUUUGCUCAUAUAAAAAAAAAAUACCACCAGCAUUGAGUGAAGUGCUAGGAUUAAUUAAUUGCUAUUGUUCUUUUCUCUUCCAUGUUGGAAAAAGAAACUUAUGGAUGAGAUACAACGAGAUUUAUUUAUUUAUUUAUUGUCGAACUGAAAUGCGGCAGCUUCAGAAGAAUUGGACUAAAAGCCAUUACCAUUGUAUAUUAAUAGAGUUUCCGCACCAAUAUACCAGGAGGGCUGAUGGUGGACUUGUUAUUCUGUUUAUUCAAGGUCAAAAAUUUUUAGCAAAGAAAACAGUAAGUCAUUCACGGGAUUAACAGUGCUUGUUGGCAUGAUAUAGUAUACCAUGUAUUCAGUUCGCAGGAGAAUUUAUGUGACAACUCGGGGGUGGAUAUCUUAUCCCUCUACUGUCCUAUGGAGUGAAUGCGCAAAGUAACCUGCAUAUCUAAAGAUGCAAAAGAAACAAGAAAUUCUAUAUUAGCUUAAUUUGUUGCUUUUCUUCUUGUUGCCGCUUGACGGGGGGUAGCCUGCAGGCAUAGGCAGUUAUUUUUGAUGUAUAAGAAAAGUUGGCUUUGUUUGGUGGAAGGAUGGGGAGGAGGAUAUACUAAAAUGUGGCAAAUAAAUGAUGUGGACAUACUUGCUAAGAAUCCCUUUUUCACUUAUGUCAUGAGAAGAAAGAAAGGAGAUGUUGAUGAUGAUGGCGUGCAAGCACAGCUUAAUUUAAUUCAUUGCUGAAAAAGAAGAAAAACUUAAUUUAACCCGUAGAAGAUGCCUGCUAGCCUGUUGGCUAGUCUCUUUAAUUUGCUUUAGGUCAUCAGACUUGGGAUGGGGACCUUGAGGGGCUACCUCAUGCGGUGGAGACUAGGCUAGAAUUUUCUUGGUUAAUUAAUCACAGGAAAAGAAUGAAAGGGUCAAGUGGGGAUCAUGGACCGUUUGAUUGAUGGAUGAGUCGCCACAUGGGAAUGUGAGAGCCACAUUCAUGCCAAUCUUGAGUAUAAGAACACACCCAAUGAAUGAUUAAGAGCCAACCCCAGCCUAUAGUCAUAUGAAUUUAUUUUUUUUAAGACCCCCAACCUUAAAAACCUGCACAAAUAUGGUGCCUAACAAUAUUAGGGUGAUAAAUGGAAAUAAAAGAGUAAAAUAAUUCUAGUAAUGUUUUCUUAAAUGGGAAAUUGGAGGAAAUCAACAAAAAUAAAUUUUCUGGAUUUGUAUAAUUAAAUGACCACAAAGCCCAGUAGGAGGUACAAAUUUCUUUUAUAUUGUAUAAGAUCUAAGUGGAUAAGGGCGGCCGGACGGCCAUUGGGCGGUUGCAACCACCUCCAACAGCCACAACACCUCCGGCCGGUAGCCGUUUCAGACAGGGGAUCAUGAUCCCCUGUUCUCCCCUCUUCUUCUUCCAUCCUUUCUCUUCUCCUUUCUUUUUUUAGAUAUGAGCUUGGGUUGGGCCAAGCUCUUUGUUUAUAUAUAAUAUAAAUAAAUAAAUAAAAUCAUUUCUUGAGCUAUGAGUUGUUGUUAAUGGAUACAUUCAGCUUUCACUUCAAGAGAUGGUCAAUUUUAGAGCAGAGAAAAUCAUUGCCUAUUGCAUGAGGUAUCCUCUUUGUCAUGAAAUUAACAAAGGAAAAAAUGAAGCUCUUUUUUUGUUGGGGGAUUCAUUCACUUGGAUUUUGCUUCUUUUAGCUAAUUGAUUUUCUAAUAAUUUUGUUGUAAUUGUUGAGAGGAGGAUUGUGGAUGAAGUGAGUAAGCAUGAUACUCUAAUAAUUUUUGGGGAAACCGGAAGCGAGAAGACCCUGGUGAGUUUUGUUUUUUUAUCCUUCUCAUAUGCUUAUUGCAGUACAUAUUUUUGUUUUUUUAUGGUUCACAUGCUAAUUUUCUUUUACCAUCUGUGGAUUUUUUUUUUUUCACUUUGCAAAGACUAAAGAGUAAUAAGUUCUUUGCAAAAUAUAACAUAGUGUCCUAUAUGAAUGAAAAAUCUAAGCAUCUUGAGAGAAGCGAGCGGCUCUAUGCUAAUGUUACAGCCCACACAUUUUGCAUCACCAUAUGAUCACAUCUAUUACUUGGGUUGUACUUUUCAAUUUGCACCGUGAACCAUCUCUGACUAACAUGGUACUGAAAAUGAAAUUGUGGAGGAUAACUUCAAUAAAUUAGGCACAAUAUCCAUGACCAUAAUAUGCUAAAUUAUUUUUUUGUGAAACACACUUUCAUAAUAAACUUUUAAACCUCCCCAUUCCCCCUUCCCUCCCCCAAACUCAUUAAAAUUUGGCUGCUUUCUGUAUUCUUUUCAUUAUAUUCUGCAUGAAUAAUGAAAAAAUUGCUUUAUGAGAACUCUUGACAUGUUUUCUCAUUUGUUGCUGAAUUCUUUUUAUUAUUAUUAUUAUUAACAUGCUUGUAGAAGCUCAUGCUUGCUUCCAUAAUUCUUGCAGAAUUGCCACAAUUUUUAUGUAAUACUGGAUUUUGCAAAGAUGGGAAAGUUAUUGGCAUCACCCAACCUCGGCGGGUUGCAGCUAUCACUGUUGCCAAACAUGCAUGUGGUGGACGAAUGUGGUAAAAGAAUGUAAUGUUGAAUAAGGAUUUAGAAUCAAUAAGUUUACCAAAUUCACUUUUCAGGUACAAUCACAAGCAUUUCCCUGGUCUCUCCUGUCCAAUGCGCCCACACAUGGAUAAAUUCUUGUUAUAACAAAUCGGGUAAAAUUGUAAUUCACACCAAAACUACACUGAACUGCAGCUAGGAACAAUGUACAUCAUAUGCAUACAAACAUGUGGUUCAAUGAGAUGCCAACUUUCAACAGCAGUUAAAGAAUUAUUUGUUCAUUAAAAUCAUGUGGUAUGUAUCAUGAAUAAAAAAAGAAGAUAUAGUAAAGAAAUCAUAUUAAUAAAGAAAAAUAUAGCUUUUUUCUUUUCAGCAUCAAAAGGCACUGUAAAAAGAAAUGUAUGUCCUUUUUUUUAUGUCCAAAUACAUGAGACUGGUGAUGUCUUCACGAGCAAAAGAAAACUACUAUGGAUGCAAUGUUGAUUCUUACCAACAUCAAGUUUUAAAUCAAUGAAAAUUUGAUAGAAAAUUGGUACAAUGCCAGGCCUUUUAAGUAAUAUGUGGAGUAAAGUCAUAAGCCAAAUGGGGUUCACAAUGAUGCAUCAACUAGCAGAAUCUUCAAAUUAAGAUAGAGAUAUUUGAUAGUUACGGAGGGGAAAAAAAAGAUCCAUACUUGAACAACAAAAUAGGGCAAAAUACAACAACACUUUUUUAACUUCCGAGGAGAAACAUUUUGAUCCCAAAAGUUUAAAAAUUUUCAAUUAACACCCCAAAGGUUUUAUUUUUUUGUGUUAAUGCAGUCCAUCCAUUCAUCUGGCCCCUGACAUCAUUAAUGUACUUUUUUUUUUUUGCUGAAGAAUGACUAGUUCAAAAGAUGAGAAUCCUCUUAUUAUUAAUCCAUUAUAAUGACAGAAUUUAUUCAACUUAUUUCCAUCAUGGAGAAUUCUGCUAGCCUGACCGUCUCUUCCCAUGCCUUGGCCUCAAUUAUUUUUCGGUGGAGCUGCAAUAGCUAACCAUUAGCCCUUUAGGGGGCGUUUGGUAACUCCAACAGGAUCACCGCGGUGAUCUAAGAUUUCCGAUGAUCCGAAUGCUAGGAUGAUUUGAUCUCUAGUGAUUUAAAAUCAAUGUAUUUGGUAAGUCAUAGUCCAGUGAUUAAAAAUCUCCGGGUAUCCAAGAGUAACUUGUUUGGUAUAGUACAGGGAUUCAAGAUUACCGACCAUGUAAUACCACAAAUACCCCUGGUAUAUUUUAGAUGGAUUUUUUAUGUGUUUUUAAGUCUCAUGAAUUAAAAAUAUAAGUCAAUAUGCUAAUUCCUAUAAUAGCUCCAUAAUUUUGUCACAUAUUCUACUUUUAGUAGCAUCUUAUCAUAUAUUUAUUAAUCAUAUAAAAUAUAUUAUAAUAAAAUAUUAAUAUAUUUAUCAAUAUAUUAAUUAUUAAUAUAUUCUAAAAAAUAUAUUUAUUACUCCUAUAAAUUAUUAAUCUUAAAAAAAUAUGUUAUUUUUCAUUAUAGAAUUAAUAUUUUUAGUUAUACUUAUAAUAAAUUUUUUAAUACUAAUAAUUAUUUUGAUUAGAAAAAUAAGGUAAAUAGGAGUAAUAUAUUAAAUAUUUUCAUUAUAUAAAUAUAAAAUAUAAUAAUAUAUUUCUACUAUAAUUUAAAAUUAUCCUUCCAUAAUAAUAUGAUUAGUAAUAUAUUAUAAUAUAAUAUAUAUAUUAUUGAUAUAAUAUAUAAUAUCAACAUAAUAUUAUAUAUAUAUAUAAUAUUGACAUAAUAUAUUGAUGGUAUAUUGAUAUAUCAAUUUUUCUGCUAAAUUGAGGGGUAUUUUUGUCUUUAACUUUCAACCCAGGAUCAUUGCCUUGGGGUGAUCUUGGAUUUCUGACCUCAAGGACGGGUAUCCCAUCACCGAGUUGGGCGGUGAUUUGAGGAGUGAAGGUGAUUUAGGAUCACCGCCACGUAGGAUCACCGUGGUGCAAUCAAACGCGGUGAUCUCAUCACCUCCACCCAUAUCACCCUUAAUCCUGGGACGAUCAUCCUAUACCAAACGCCCCCUUAAGGGCAAUGAGGUGUUCCAGGCCCUGAGGCAAUCUCGUCAGCUUGGGCAACAUGAGAUCACUAAUGUUUCCAAUGAUGUAAGGUCUCCCAGCCAUUCCAGCAGUUUGGCUAGAUUGGUGUAGGCCACUCUCUUCAGUGAUCGAAGUGAAGUUAGGUGUUUGAAUGCUCUCUGGUACAUUAAUCAGCUCAUCACAAGAUUCAAUUAACAAGUCCUCAAGUUUGGUAUGGUAUUGCAGUCCCUUCCACCCAUCAGAUGAUACACCAUAAUGCUUAACCCGCAGUCUCCUAAGAAGCAAAGAUUAUGAAACUAAGGAUGAUGGGCACAUUUGCCAUCUUAAUAAUGGGCACUUGUUGAAUGAGCAGGUUCCGAGCUCUACAAUGAGCUUUGGGAAAUCGAAGCGCGGUAUUACGAGUCGUGCGAUGCACUGCGGGCUCCUCGUGAAUCCAUCUUGGCAAUUUUUCCCUUCGUUAAAUAUCAAUGUAGGGGCAGGGCUCUUUCUCUAGCACUAGUCUGUUGUCGCCGAUUCCGAACCGACGUCGGAGUGCAGCUCGGACAACCCUGAGGUCGGCAAGAGACAAGCUGAGCAAGGUGGUUGAGGUGCUGAAUGCUGGGCUCCUCUAAGGAUAGCCCGCAAAAAGUCUACUUGUCGAAGAGUUUCUAGUAGGAGACCCUCCGAUGCCUAAGUCAAAAUAGAGUGGCAACAUUAUGGAAGGAAGAAAAUUCAGCAGAGUGUGGUUAUAAUAUCACGUAGUGCAUAUCUGAGCCCCCUGAACUAUCCUUUUAUAUAAGAGAGUCGGAUUUAUCGUCACCAGGGCGGCAUAGCGUGCACCUGGUGCCAGGCAGCUGUUAGUUGUACGGCUUUGACGUGGGCGGCAUACGAUACUAACCAUGCGCCGAAUGAAGAGCUACCACAAUGGCUAGUUGCUGUCCCAACGAUCGUCUACUAGAAUUGUCAGUCCUUGUCGGCACAUGUCAAUGGGCUCUUUGAUCGGGGCCAAAUCCAUUCACCUUGGCUUAUGCCUAGGUGAUGGAGAGGUCGGUCUUGUCCGAGAUCAAGGUGUCCAAUAUUCUUUCCAUCACUUGCCUCUCACUUCAGAGGCUAAGAACAGAGCUGUUGUUAGAGGACAAUAAAUGUGUUGGUUGGUCUUCUCAAAGGGGCACCAGAUUCGGGCCAUCCCGAGACGUCAUCAUUGCAAGGCUAUCCUGCGGCUUCAUCAUUGUGGGGUUGUUCCGAGAUGCCAUUAAUGUGGCAAUCUGGCGGAUCACCAACACCAUUAUGAUUCAUCCAUCCUUGCUCAUGUAGAAAUAGACCUCAUCCGAGCUCAACAUUUUGUGGCUCAUGAGUUCACUUUUAAUCUCAUUGGUCCUGAUGACCGGGUGACCAACCCACAUCCUUUUUGGCUUGGAUUGUAUGAGGAGACUCUACGGGUGGGUCGAGGCUUCACCUCUGUAGAGCAUAAUAAGAUGUGAAACAGUAGUAAGAAAAAUCUAAAAGUGUGGCCGUUCAUGUUAUUUUAAGAGGUUGUAUGCUAGUUUUGAGGAAAAGAAUAAUUAAUAAUGCGGUAAGGAAAAAUAAGCAAGGUAUCCAUUACUUCAGUGCAAUAACAAUGAGGACCAUCGGUAUCAAUUGAAAGUGACGAAAAUUUAAAAAAGUGCUACCACUACCGCCUUAGCAUGGGUACCAUAGAAUACCAAAGCCUCAUACCAGUUCCAAUAAAAUGAGUCGAGGAUAUUUCCAAAGAAUACCAAAGCCUCAUACCAGUUCCAAUAAAAUGAGUCGAGGAUAUUUCCAAGACACUUUGAACGACCAAAAUGAAGAAAGCUAAUAAUUGAAAAAAAAGCGGAAGCGCAGCGACCCAAUGGAAUACCAUAGGAGGCAUGCCAUUUUAUGUGAGCAACUAUUUGGUUAGGCGGCUGCUUCUUUUUUCUUUUCUUUUCUUUUUUUUUUCCUUUUUCUUUUAAGCUAAAGCAGAUAAUUCAUACAAUUUUAGUACAGACCAUCCAAAAAAUUUAAAAAACAAUACAUUGCGAAGCACUCUAGGCAGCUCCCUCUUCCCAACCCACAACGCAUCUCCAGGGUCAUUGGCCACAUACGAGGCCAUCCAUUCCGUAUCUCCGUUGGCUUUUCUGUAUACAUGUAUGGCUCGGAAAAUCACACCACCACUGACUAUGGCCCGGAUAUCUCGGAAUAGGGGGUGACACUCGCACACCGCCUGUAUAUCCCUGAAUCCAACCGAUAACUGUAGUCGAGUCACCCUUAAGCAUAACUACUCUAGCCUGCAGCACACACUGGACAUAACCCAACCCGGCCCAUGCUGUCCUUAGCUCGGUCCUCGACACCGAGGUAUCAUAGAUUUAGCAACCACCAGCAACAACCACUUGGAGUCCGGAUCUCUAAUAACGAAAGCCAACGCCUCUUCUCGUACCAUCAUCUAGCAUGCAUCCAUCGAAGUUGGCCUUGAGGAAGGUUAGACAGUCUUUUCAACAACAUUUUGAAAUAAGAAAUGUUUCCAAUUAUUGCACUUGUAUUAUGUUGAUCUUAAAAAGAAGCAAAUGCAAAAUUGCACUGGUUUUCUCACACACGCAAUGCAGGCAUAUAUUAAGUAAUGGAAAUGGAAUGAGAAAAGGGACUAUCAGUUCCUUUCAUUUUGAACAGAGCAUAUGUUGAUCUUCUAAAAGCGUGAUAUGUUCGGCUUGAAAUAAGGACGACGUAGUAGAAAGUUGCAAGGAAAACAUCAAACAGAAGGAGAAAGUAAAAAAACCAUGUGAAACUGGAUGUGGAGAGACUGGUGGCUCUUGACUCCACUGAUACGAAUGAUCAACCACAAGCACUCAAUCUCUUUAAACUUGAAUAAAUGCAUUUACGAGCAAUCUGCAUGAGGCCCCAUGGUUCCCAUUAUGCAUAAAUCACAUAUUUUUUUGCUGACUAGACAAGAACAUGUGGAUGCUAAAGUAUCUUAAGGACAUAUAAGAAACAAAAGGAACUAAAUUGAAAUAAAAAAAGAAUUGGAAAAAGUGAUUUUUGGGGGAAAAUAAAUGGAAAUGAGACAAUGGCCACACUAAUUGGUAUGAAAGCAUUAAAUUCAAGUCACAGCAUAUAUGCUGUAUGGCCAAAAUGUUGAGCUAUCCAAUGGUACGAACAUUAUGCUUGCAUGGUAGAGAUGAACAUGUGGUUAACGUUAGAAGAACAGAGUUAAAAAAGGAGUACAUUAAUAAAACUAGUAAGUUUCAUCAAAGUGAUUGAAAUCUAUCGCAGGUAGGUCUGCGCAACUAAAAUUGAAUGUGUAGGUGGAGAGAUCCAAGAACUAAAAUGUACAUAUAGAAACCUUGAUGGAAGUAAAUAGAGGCCAGCACAUACAUCCCUUGAUCAAUGUUGUAUUAGAGAAAAAUAAGUAUUCAAAGCAACCAAACAAAAAACUACCUUAAAGGCCAUUCAUUUGAGGACCAGUUAGAAGGUGUGAGGUCGUCAUUAGAGACCAUAAUGUCAGACUGGUGGCGGUAAGAAGAUGGCAGAUUUUUGACACCUCUGUUGUGUGCAUCGAGCUCCAAGCUGCAUGGGAGGUUGUUACCUAUGCGAGACAGGUGCUGGGCGCGGACAGAAUCCUCCUCGAGGGAGACUCGAUCAUAGUGAUCGAGAGGAUCCGGGGUUGGGGAGGUGCUGAAGGAGAGAUGCCGCUGCUCCACGACAUCCGCAGUUUACUAGGAAGAUAUGACUCCCACCAGGCCACGCAUGUUUACAGGAAGGCAAACGGUGCUGCUGACUGAGUUGCUUUCUUUGCUGCUCACUACGCUGAAGGAUUUAUCUGGAUGGAUCAUAUAUCUGCACCGGAACCUCUAUAUAGUCUUUUAUUUUCUAACUUUGUAGACCGCAUUCGUAUCUGUACGGUGAGCCACCGCUAGAAAAAAAAUCUAAAAGUUUGGCCCUUUGGCUGCGAGACACCCGCAUGAAUGUUUGGCGUUGGAAAAUGAAUUGAUUCUUAAAUUACUAUUAAAUGUUUCCAAGUUGAUACCUCCUGCUGAUAUAAUAUCUUUUAAUUUGUCAAAUUAUAAUUAUUUAUUUAGGUUUCUCUUUUAUAUUUUUUAUAUAUUAUCUUUGACCACCUGAGUUCUGGACGCUCAUUUACACACCUGGCUAGGCGCUAGCAAAGCCCCUGCCACCCAUCAGCUGUGUUCAGUCAUUUUAAAAUAUUGAGAAUUGUAUUAACAUGGUCGGGCACAUAGCACUGUCAUUAGAAACGACAACAUCCAAAUAAUUACUUUGGCUUUUAACCUAAUAGUUCCCAGACAAAACACUACAUAACAGGAGUCGUCAAGAGCAAAGGCCAUUUAACAAAAAAAAAGUCUACCCUGAACAAAUAAAUAACUUCAUGGUAAGAAAAAUAAAAAAAAAGGAGCAGAGAAUCACCUUUUUUACUUAACAUCAACUCCAUGAACUAAAAAUUCAUCUGUGUAGGUGACAGGAAAUUCCAAAGUCUGCUCAUCUAGAAACACAUCUCUGAACUUUUGCCGUCUAUCAGUGACAAUAGCAUACUUUCCACUCUGCACGCCAGAGACGAGCUACAAACUUACACAUUCCGGAAAAAAAGGGCUACCAUUAAACCUACUCAUAACCAGUUGUUUAUAAGUGGAAGUAUUUCUGCUAAAAGAAAUUCUAUUUAGCCCUCUCAUUAUAGGUAUAAGGAGCAUGACAAGAAUAUCAAACAAUAAAUAGACAGAAAAAAUCAAUCUCUACGGGCUACUCCUCGUGAGUGCUGCCAAUAAAUUGCGAAGAAAAAUGGCAAUUUUCAAAUCAUGAACACAAUAACAACGCUGACUUUUCAGUACUGAAAAAACUAAUUGAUGCAUUAUUAGAAGAAAAUACAAAUAGCAACCUAAUUUACCACUCAAAUGACAUUUCGUAUAUAAUUAGUAUUAUGAUUCUCUUUACUAUUUUUUCUGAUUUACUCUGUGUCUUAAUUUUUUUUUUUGCUGUUCAUCUAAAUUCUCUUUUCCACGGAAGAGCCUCUCCCCUUUCUUUUCUCUGUUGUUUUUUUUCUCUAUGGGUGAUGGACCAAGAGUCUCUCCUAUAGUGGAACAUCUCAUCACGGAACUCUAUCCAAUCUUCGGAUCAAACAGACCGGAUGAUGACAUGCGGAAUCCUUUGAUGCAGACACCUAAGCGAACCCCUUUCCGACAUUUACCGUUCGAAGACACCACCGGGCUUUCCUUUAAUGUAUUGUACAGAUUAUUAUUAUUAUUUUACGCAUGAGAUGAUUAACUGUCCACCUAGUGGAAUAUGGGGCCUUUGGAGCUAACUUUAUAUAUUCAAUAUAUAAAUACGACCUAUUUCAUGCACGUAUUUUUUAUUAAAAUAAUAAAUUAAUAAAUAUUAAAAACUAUUAUCUAUAUCUUUAAAUAAUAGAAAUAUAGGCAGCUAGUGUGGCUUGAUGAGCUGUCAAUUAAUAAUUAAGAGAUUUUUUGAAAUUAAUUAAUUGAGGGUAUUCUCAAUAUAUAACAGAAAGAAAAGACCACUCAACAGGAAAGAAAAUCCUAAAUUCAUCGAACACUCCAUGAUCCUCUCUCUUUUAGAAAAGCCAUUCAAUAUCUUCAUGAACAAUUGGAUGUAGUAGAAUUAUUUUUCAAUUAGGGUAAUUUUUUAAAAAAUUAAGGUGAAAGCUCUGUUUCCAUUCUCUGGUCCCUUCCUUCCUCUUUCUUCUUGUAAACAGUUCUCACUAUUAAACUUCAAACCAAUUUUAUCAUAAAAAAAGAACAAAAUUCUUGUCCAAGUAUAGAGAUGGAAAUCCUAUAUUCCAAUCGCUAACAUAUACAUGUCAACUCUAUUUUUCAAAAAAAUAAUCUAAUCUUAUAUAGUUGAGAGAUAGAAUGAAACUUUUUUCUUUUCCUUCCUCUCUUCCAUUCAAAACAAAAGGCCUUCUGUAUUUGAUCUUCAACUCUCUAAUUUUAUAAUAGAUUUCUUUGCCAAUUCUUUAAAGAAUUAAGAAAAUAUAUCUAAAACAAAAAAUCUCAUAAGGUAUUAUUGGCAAGGGUGACAUGAUGAUGGAAUUUUUGUUGCCUAUGACCAUGACUAAGGGUGUCAAUGGGUCGGGUUGGAUCCUUGACCAUGCUUAAUCCAAUUCGACUUCCGGUCAAGACCUCUUGACCCUUAUGAUCAAGACUUCUUGAUCCAUACCUCCAGGUGCUUUUGGGUCACCAAUUUGAUCCUAACUUAAUAUAUUUUUUAAGAGUUAAUACCUCUUAAAUUCAUGCUCAUUAUCAAAUUUAGUACUUACAACUCUUAUUAGUUAUUUUGCAAAAUGAUUUAAUCAACUAUAGUCUAUAGUGUCAAGAAAAGACUAAUUACUCAAAAAUUGUUAUCAAAAACUUAACUCAGCCAAACCUAAACUACUUCGACUAUCUACCCUUAUGAUCCAAGUUAGGUCAACGCUUUGACCCGUACUCGAUUCUAACUAAUAAACUCUUGACCCAAAUCUAAUGCAAAUAUAGUCGGGUCAGGUUGGUUUGUUAGGUUAGGCCAAUAUUUGGCAUCCUAUUGGUGAUUUGCCAGUACACCAGCCAACAUAGGCAACAGGUGGAUGUGGAAAGUGUGGAUGUUAGCAACACAUGGAGAGGGAGAGAUGGCAACAACAAUCUAGCAAUAUCAACCAUAACAGCCUGUAGGAGGUUGCCGGCAAUGCAACGCAUGCACCCUUGAAAGUUACCAACAAGAAUUAAUGAAUGGAAGCAAUGAAAUGAGGAAAACCUGUAUGCACCACCAUCUAUAGGGAAGCAAUGUCCAGUGCCUUUGUAUCAAUCUUCAGAGGUUUGAUUAUCGAAAAAGAGAAGAUUUAGUGAAUGCAUCUCUAGUUUCUGCACUUAGCUUGCCCAAUGGGUUAAGUCCUACAAUUACAAUGCUUCGACUUGGAGCUCUAGCUCAACUUUUACAAUCCCUAGUUUCCUGUUUACUAUAGCACUGUAGGAAUGCAAAGCAUGAUGCAAGUGAUAAUUAAGAAUGGAUCCAGGCAUAAAUGGAUCAAUCAAAAAUCUAAAAUUUGAUACAAAAAAAACAAAUUAAUUUUCUGCAACAUAAUGCUGAGGAGCUAGUUCUCAUAACCACAAGGGAUCUACUCUUGUUAGGUUACGAACAUAGUUUUGAUUUGUUUGAACCAAUUCAUAGAAGAUGAUGAAGUUCAACCUGCUCAUUUAACCCGUGCUGGUGCUAACCCUAUCAGUCUAGGGCCUGCAACAGGUAGCAGCGCUGCCAGAACCAGUCCGGCCGGAGUCUGGUCAAUUCAGCCACCACUCCCAGUCGUCAGUGCACCACAUGUCUGGUCAAUCACCGCUCUCAAUACCAACAUUCAGAGUAGUCUCGCUAAAGUCGGUGUACUCAGCGAAGCAAUCUCGGUGGGAUGGAAAACGGCGUACCCCAAGCCCCCAUUUUGGCAAAGACUCCAUCUAGAGCCUCUCACCUAUUUGCCUCGUGGAGUCUCCGCCCUAGCAAGAUGCAGACCUUGAUAGGAGAAUUGAGGAACAGGGUCGGCAGAUCCAGGCCCUUAGAGGUCAGGUUUCAAGGGCAAAUAAUGACCUCAACUUCUCCUCAAAGCCUCCUUUCUCCCAGCAGAUCAUAAAGGAACCAUUUCUACCUUGGUUCAAGAUGCCCCAAGUGAAGCCAUACGAUGACACCACCAAUCCCCUGGAUCACCUGGAGAGCUUCAAGGCUCUCAUAUUGCCACACGGAGCCACCGACACCGUGUUGUGCAAGACGUUUUCUGCAACCUUUUGCAAGAUGACUUGGUUUUGGAUCUCUAGGAUUUGGCUUGAAUCUAUCCAUUCCUUCGAGCAGCUCUUCUGCCUCUUCGCGGGACACUUUGUCUCAAGCCGAAGGCGGUGCUGCGGCUCGUAUGCAUUGUUCGACAUCGAGCAGCAAUGAAAGAGUCCCUCAGGAACUAUGUCAGCAGCUUCCAUGCAGCGAUGCAAGACCAGUCGAUCGCGAUGAAGAGUGGUCUACGACCAUCACGCAUUCUCUUCUCCCUAGAAAGCACUUUUGGCAAAUUUUAUCGAAAUGCUGGCUCAUACAGACAAAUAUGCGAAUGCGAAAGAAGCCAUGGCCUCCCAUUUUGAGGCUAGUAGUGGGAGAUCUCCCCGAGGGGCCAGGAGGGGAUGCGAGGAGCGGAAGGAGCCAAGGGCUGCCUCACCUCCACGCGAGAGGGGCUAAUGGCGGUCCAAGAGCCUUCCUCAAAACUUUGGAAAGUACACUCCGCUCUCCAUCCCGAGGGCCCAAGUCAUCAUGGAGAUAGAGGGUCGAGGCUACCUUCGCCCUCUGCAUCUGAUGAGGACCCCGAUAGGCAAAAGUGACCAGAAGAAGUACUGUCGCUUCCAUCGGAAUUACGACCAUGAUACCAAGGAGUGUAUCCAGCUUAAGGAUAAAAUCGAAACACUCAUUCGGCGUGGAAGACUGUAAUAACCCCAAAUUUUUUCUUUUUUAUAUAAAAAGGGAUAGAAUAGUCCUUUAAAAUUNNNNNNNNNNNNNNNNNNNNUGGGGCGGGGGUCGUGACAAAGACUCAACCGGUACGAGAGCAAUCAGUAGGACCAAGGAGUGCCCGCUUUGGCCUUUGAUCCAUCGCCCCUAGAGUCGAUCGACAACUAUCCAAUAGCAGGCAUCAUCAACACCAUCGCUAGCGGUCCCACCGAGGUCCCAAAUGCAUUUGACAACUAAGCUCCCCAAGAAGCCCAGGCUGCUCCGAAGAGACGACACGUAAAGGAUAUCAUCACCUUCUCCGAUGUUGACCUAAGAAAAGUACAGAUUUUUCCUGAUGUCACUGUAGUUAUUUUUCUUGCCAUGCAAAAUAUGAUGUAAAGAAAAGACUUGUUGAUAACGGAAGCUCGGCCGAUGUGUUAUUUUACAGUGCUUUCCAAAGAAUGAGGCUGCCAGCUUAGCAGCUUUGAAAGGUCAACAUUCCUCUGUUCGGCUUCUCGGAAGACUUAGUUUCCGUAGAAGGAGUGAUUAAUCUGCCAGUCAUCGUGAAACAAGAACCCCGAAGUAACACUUUGAGGCUAGAUUUUCUCGUAGUUCAAGUUUCCUCGCCUACAAUGUGAUCCUAGGCCAACCUGGCUUGAAUGCUUUUUGUUGCCCAGAUAGACAACCCAAGAGGGGGGGGUGAAUUGGGUUUUAAAAUAAUUUAGCUAUUUAAAACAUUUGUGGAUGACUAAUUAAUGCUUUAGCAUGAUGAUUAAUUCGUUACUAUGUGCUGUGAAUGAAAUGAGAGAAAUAGAAAGAGACAACCAAUCACAAACACAAAGUUUUUAUAGUGGUUCGGAGCUAACCCUUGCUCCUACGUCCACUCCCCA